ACCAAAACACACCCUUCAGCUCAAAAAGGCUCACACAUUGUAUUAGGGUUUGCAAGGGACAUCUUGGGAGAUGGAGGCUGAUGAAGGAAAAGGUUUUGAGGGGAUAAGGAUGCUUAAAUAGUGAUCAAACCCUAAAAAUUAGGGUUUGCUCACAUGCCACGUACGCUUAAUGUACGCAUGAAUAUACCAAGUGUACUAACAUGAACACACGAUUCUUUUAAGUACGCCCAAGUAUGCAUGAUGUAAGGACCAAUUUGCAACAUUACUCAUAUUUUGGAUCGAAAAUAGAAACUACCUGAUAUCAGGGUGUUACACGUUAACUCUUGAUCCAGGGCACCCUUUUCAUACUCUAACCCCUCUUAAUGAAACCCUAACCCCAUUUUAUGUUUGCAAUUUUAUUUGAUUUUUUUGAGGCCUUGUUCUUGGUUUAUGGUGAAACUAGAAGAAGAAGGAGGUUUAUUGUGGUGCAAGGAAGCAAUGAGCUAGAUUGGAUCCUUCAUUCCCUUUAGAUUUUGGAGUUGUUGAGGGUAUAAAGUUCACAUCUUGAUCCUUGUUCUUUGUGCUUCAAGUGUGGGCUCAUUUAGAUGUUUUUAGUCCCUUCCAUGAAUGCUCUUGGAGUUUGAGGAAAUCCAGAGCUUGUUGUGACUCUCAUAUGGUCCUUAGGUUUAUGAGAAUGAAAAAAGAGUCAUGUAUGGAGCUAUUUUGAGUCCAUGAGAAAAUUAAGGUCAUAUUAAGGACUUAAUGGAUUUAGGGUUGUAGAUCUAGCAAACUUUAUCCAUUAAGUCGGUGAAAUGAACUAGAUCUGAAGUUAUGGGCCUUGGUCUGAAGGAAUUAAGCACUUAAUGAAAAUUUUGGCUUUCUACUAGAAGUCACGACGUGACAUAGGGUUUGUCACAACGUGACGGUGCUCAGAGCCAUGACUGUUUUGUCAUGGCCUUCCCACGAUGUGACACAUACGACAUGCCACAUCGUGUGCCACGAUGUGACGUUGACUGUUGAGUUGGUUGACCGUUGACUUUGUGGAUCUUUGACUGUUGACUUUUGACCAAUUUGACUUGGGAUCAAACUUGGAGGAUUUAGGUUGUUAAUUAAGGAUUCAUUUCUUUUGGUGAUUAGUCGGUUCGCGAGAUCAAUUCAGGUGAAUUUCUCACUAUGCCACAUAUCCUAUUAUAUAUCCUUUGCAUGGUGUAACAUCCUGAUUUUCAAGGCAGUUAUUUCAUUUUUAUUUAUUCAAAAUAUAAGUAUUACAUAUUAAUUAUAAAAGAGAGUUUUAGAGAAAAUCUUAAAAUAUUUUAUUACUGCCUUCGAUGCAGGUACAGUCAUGUGUGAGUCUUUCCUCGAUCCGAAGAACAACCUGAAAAGCAGUCAAUUAACAACUGUAUGUCGAGGCUUAGUGAAUUAUCCCAAGAUACCAUAUACCACAAUUCAUAAACAUAAUGGCCUUCAACAUAAAGCUUGUCCGCCCCUCUUUUCCUUCAGCGUAAAGCUGAUCUGCACAUUGGCCUUCAUCAUAAAGUUGGUCCGCCGACAAUUUCUUAUAGGUUUAAUUGUUAACCGGGAUAUUCAAUUGGUGAGCAAAACACCAACAAGGAUUUACCUAUAAUACUAUACCUUAUUAGUUUCUAUGGGAAUUUGGUAAUGAAAAGCUAGAUCCUUCAUUAAUCCGAAUGAAUAUUGAGUGUUCUAUCAAAUAAGGAUUAGCCAGGAAGGACAGUUGGGAUGCAUGACCAUUUCAGCAUAUAACCUUUCUGAAAUCCAACAACCAUGCCAACGUGACCAUUAUAGACACCUCUCCAAUAAGUAGAUCAAACAAUAUUAUAAUUGGAAUUACUGAUAAAUCUUAUAUAUAUAUAUAUAUAUAUAUNNNNNNNNNNNNNNNNNNNNNNNNNNNNNNNNNNNNNNNNNNNNNNNNNNNNNNNNNNNNNNNNNNNNNNNNNNNNNNNNNNNNNNNNNNNNNNNNNNNNNNNNNNNNNNNNNNNNNNNNNNNNNNNNNNNNNNNNNNNNNUAUAUAUAUAUAUAUAUAUAUAUGAGUUAUACUUAAAGCGUAGUAAGUGUAACCUAACUUACAGAGAGUUUCUAGCGAAAACCAGGAUUUACGCUGGAAGAACUUCGAUGCCGAGCACUCCUAUUAGUUGGGAUCUCUUAUGCCGUAGUACCUUGCUAAUUAGAUUCUCUAGGACCCCAAAAAUACCUCAGAAGUUCGGUUUAGAGAGAGAGAGAGAGAGAGAGAGAGAGAGAGUUGAAAGGAUUUGGUGUGGAGAAAGAAGGAACAAAUGAGAACUAUUUAUAAGGGUUUUUCUGUGGAGGCACGCUGCACAGUUGGGUGGUGGCGGAGGGUGCCAUAUGGUGAAAAUCUGGUGGAGUGUCGGACGCGCACCGCACGCUUUGUCUAUAUGUGCGAUUUAGAAAAUUUUCAAAAAUUCAAAACUUCUUCAUACGAGCUCAGUUUUUGAUGUUAUUUAUAUCCCACGUAGCUAUCAAUGAGAACUAUAACUCUCAUUUAGACUCCGUCGGCUAAUUAUCAUUUUAUUUUUAUAGUUAUAUUUUUAACAGGCUUAGACUGCUAAACUCCAUUUUAAAAUCAUAACUUGUUCAUACAAAUUCCAUUCUCAACUGUCUUUAUAUUGACAAAAUCCUAUUAACAAGAUCUUCAGCUCUCGUUUAGAUUGUUUUUCCUAACAAUCGACCGAUCUUGAUUUCGGUUUAUGUGUUGCACUUGCACACUACUAUGCUGAAACUUCUAAAUAUCAUAACUUCCUCAUGCGAGGUCAGAUUUGGAUGUUCUCUCUAUGCACACUCUCAAUUUCAUGACUACUACGACUUUCAUUUUGAUUGCUUAGGAUAAUAAGCAACCUAUCUAAAUUCACUUUUCACGAUACGCAGAGUCGUGUAGGUUUAAUUGCGAAACUUCGAAGAAGUAUAACGUCUUCAUAGGAAGUCGAAUUUAGGUGUUCUAUAUAUUCACAUAAAUCAUACCAAUGUUUUCUACAUGUUUAUGAUGAUUAUUUUUGCUCAAAAGUAAUAUAUUUCUACUUUGUAUUUCAUAAUAAUUGCUUAAUAUUACAACCAACUGAAGUAGUGAAAUGGGGUGUUACACAUGGUAGGAUAGAGGUACUAUUAUAGUACAAGUAUGCUAGUGGCCUAGGGAACUCUUGGUCUAAUGCUUGAUUGUAAUGUUCUUGUCUGAUUAUUCGCUCUUGGGUGGAUCAUUUGUCGGAUUGUCUAUCUGACCCCUGUCUACAUACGACUUUAUGUCUUGUAUGGAAGACCAGGAGGUGGCUCCUAGAAGUGGAGGUUGGGCGGGGCCCAUUUACUCCAUGGACGAGGCCCUUUAUGCAUAGUUGGGCGGGGCCCAUUAUGUAUGGUUGGUCAGACCUCGUUAUGUACAGUUGGGCAGGGCCCAUUAUGUAAGUUGUGCUAGACCCGUGAACUCUUAGGUUGGGCUUGUUGUAUAUGAUGCAUGUAUGUGGUUAGGAGAUUUGGUUGCUCGGUACUAAAGCUGAGACCUUAUGUGGAUGCAUUGUAUGUAUGAUGGAAUAUAUGGUAUACUGGGGAACUUACUAAGCUUUAUGCUUACAUAUGUGGAUUAAACAUUUUGCAGAUUGCUCAUGAGAAGAGCUUGACGGUACUGUACACAUGCAUCGAAGAUAUUCGUUUCCUUGGUUUUGCAAACUUAACUUUGAUAAUGUAUGGUUUCAAACAAACAAAUGUUACUCGCCGUUUUGGGAAGCAAAGGUUCAACCGAUUUAUUUAUUUUGAUAAAGAACAAUCUCUUUGUAAUUUUUGGGACGUUACAAUAAUCUAAUGGAUAAGUAUGAAUGUAUGGUUAGAUGUUAGUGGUAUGAUGUUAAAUACAUACAAGCUAUUAGAUGAAUGCUUGGUUCAAGUACUUAAUGAAUUAGAUACUUGAUAACAGUAGAAGAUUUUUUAAUGAAAUUAUGUGAUAGAAUGUUUAUGUUCCAAGUAGUAUAGAAGAAUAUGGGAAGACCAUAACAUCUUCAUGAAAGAUUAUGAGAAUGUAGAAAGGUAAUUCAUUUGGGAAUAUAGGAACGUGAUUCCUUUAAGAAUAUAGGGAUGUAAUUCCUUCGAGAAAGAGAAUAUAUGUUAUAGAGAAGAUUGAUAAAGGUUUCCAUGAAUGGAACAAGGUAAGAGGUUUCUUUUAGAGAACGUUGAUAAUAGAUUCCGUGAGUUAUAUGUAGUUGUUACUGUGCUUAAUGUCUUUGAGAUAAAGAAAGAAUAAAUGGUUGAAUACUUAAUGAAUUAGGUACUCGAUAGAUAACAAGUUAUGUUUAACAAGAUGUUUAUGUGUUUAGAGUGUUACUCAAUGUGAGGAUGAGAAGGAAAUGUCAUGAAAAUGUAAGACAAUGAGUAAAGGAGUAGAAAGUGAAAGUAAAAUCUAGCCAGCCAAAGGAAAUCCAUGAGGGAUUAUAUAUAGUGGAUCGAUAAGGGAUCAUUAUAAUCUGUGGGGGAUUAUAUGUAAGGAAUCUAUAAUGGAUUCUUGUAAUACGAUAGGGAUUAUAUGUUAUGGAUCCAUAAAGGAUCAUUGCAAUCCAUAGCAGAUUAUGCAUAGUGAACCGUAAGGAUCAUUGUAAUCCGCGAGGGAUUAUAUGUAGCGGAUCCAUAAGGAAUCAUUAUAAUCUGUGAGGGAUUAUAUGUAGUGGAUCUGUAAGGGAUCUUUCGAAUUCGCGAAGGAAUCAUGAAACGAAAUGUUGUUAAAAGAUCUGCGAGGGAUCAAAGUGACGGGCCUGAGUCUGGAUGAUUGGACACCAAUAAGGUUAGAGUUAUGUUGUCACUCUACAUGAGAGAUAUAGUUAUUUUAUGUGUCUAGGCCGUUUGGGUCUUAAUGAGAAGAGAAGAAUAUAGUGUUUUUUUAACUCACCAAACUUGUUGUAUGAUGUUUGUAGUUUGGCAUGUGUGUAGGUUUAGGUACUAGCUUUAGUACGAGAGGAGAUAGUAGCACCAAAUACAUGUACUAGAUGUAGAUUUUAUUUGGCACAUCCUUGUUACUUUAAAUUAUGGUUAAGAUGUGUUGUAAACCUGAAUAUAUUAUCUGAUAUAAAAUGUUUUUGAAACCCAGGUUUUCGAAUGUUAUAUUAAAACUUUGAUAAACCCCCAAAAUAUUUUAUUAAGAAAAGUCGGGUUCUUACAAUAUUCAUCAACCCGGACAUCACCUUUGCCAUCCAAUAUGUCUACUUAUUCAUAUAGUCUUUAUGGGAGUCUCAUUUCACUCACCUAAAUGGAUUAUUUUAUACAUUGAAUGCUUCAUCGAUCAUAAUUUACAUAUUUCUACGUAUAGGAAGCUACACCAUAUGGCUUAAUUGGAUGUCGAUCUGAGGGGGAAGGUGUCCCUAUUUGUGGCGAUUAACAUCCAAAUACAAUGAAUUCCUCAACGACAAUGGUCUCAAGUUCCUCCAUACGUUAACCCAAUGUUUCAAGAUCAAGCACCUAGACCAAAAAUAACGGUGUAGCCAAUGCUAUUGCAGAAACUAGUUGGUUACUCAAUCUACUCAUUUAGUUGUAUGUUCUAUUUUCUUGUGCGAUGAUAAUUUAUUGCAGGUUGUCAAGAUUGCGAUCUUACCUAAGAUUGUUUUUUGUUUUGCAUGAUCGUGAUCGAAAGAUCAUGCCUAAAUGAACUAAUAUUCAAAUUUGCUCUCAAGGUCUUGGUUGUGAAGUGUACAUUAUAUGUAACAUCCCAAAAUUCAUAAUAAUAAUUUCAUUCUCAUUUAAUCAAACCAUUUAUUCAUUUGCUUCAAAAGGUAAUCAAAUUAAUAGUUUUCUUAGAUAUUAGAGUAAAGAUCACAAAUAGUGAAUGCAUAAUGAACUCUGGGGGAUGCAGUGCAAUCACGCCGAACCCUUCCCUUUGGAACCAGAAGUACCUUGAAUAAUAAUCAUGAAACUGUAAGCAUAAAUCUUAGUGAAUUCCCCAAAAUACCACAUACCAUACAUAUCAUCAAACCCAACUCUCACAUUGGGUCCAACCCAUAAUAACGGGCCCAACCCUCCAUACCAAUGGUCCCAACCCAACAUACAAAUGGACCCACCCCUACAUGCAUACAAAUGGGUCCAUCCCAUCACACAAUGAAAGAGUCACAAAGACAACUAACAUCCUAUAUAACAUAAUCCAACGGUCCGACAUUGGUGCCUUCAACCUAGGAGUACAAUGAAGAGACUCACCUGACUCACGAAUCAGCUAGAUUGCGACUGAAAGCUCCACAACAGAUCCUACAAUCCACCUAUCGAAACAUACAAGGUCCAACCUUAGUCUACUAUAUAAAUCUAGCAAUCUUGACCAAAGUCAACAAGUCAAUCGGUUAAAGUCAAAGUCAACAGCCAACAAUGUCAACCAACGAUCCUCACGUCGUGACCAACCUUUGGUCACGUAGUGAGAGUACACUCGACCCGAUUCCAACUUGACUCGCUCUAGCUCAAUCAACUCAGUUACGGACAAUCCUUUAGGCUGACCUCACGACGUGAACAUCCUUCUAUCACGAUGUGAGCCCUAAAAGACUCAACAGAAAAUGAGUUCUUUCGUGGUCACGUUGUGACACACCUUAUGUCACUUCGUGACUACAGUCUGAAGCAUAAAUCCAAAUAUUUUUUUGAACAACAACAAAAAUCAAAAUAAGAAAAAGCUAGCUAGGAGCUAGCUAAAAAUUACAAAAUUAAGGCGUUAGCCGAUUGCGCAUCCAGUCAAUCCAACUAACACAAACCUUAGAGUUCCGAAAAGAAAACCAAUGAAAAGACAGAUCAACAAUAGUAUCAUACAAAAGAUGUUUUUUUAAACUUAUUAGGGCUAAAGAUGACACCAUUCAUAUACAACCAAAGAACCCAUAAACUCACCAUGCAAACCGACUCCAAGAUAGGCCGAUUUCUACCAAGAAUCAACGAAGAAUCAAUCCAAUCAAGCAUCUCUGCAACACCAAGGUCAAUAGGAAACAGAACUUCAAGCCAAAGCCCUAUUCUCCUCCAAAAUUUUCUUCCACCUCACACUGGAAGAAAAAUAUGCGAAACACUUUCUUUAACAGACUGACAAACUGGGCAUAGAAUAGACUCCAACUCAACACCUCUAUCCACUAAAACCAAACAAAUAGGGAUUCUAUUUAACCUCAAUCUUCACAAAAAAAUGUUAAAUUUAAUCGGAACAUUCCAAUUCCAUAUAGUCCCCACUCCACUGAUCGGGAGAGAAAGAGAAUCAAUAUGCCUUCUAGUGGAACUAACCAAAAACACCCCACUUGGAUCAAGACUCCAGGACCACCUGUCGGGAAUGGAAGUCAACUGAGUAAGAGUCAAAAUCUGCAUAAAACUCUCUAAUUUCUUAGCUUCAACUCCUCCUCUAAUGCCACACCUCCAAGAGAAGUUCCACCCACAAUAAUUCCAGAAAUCCGAGGCCAACCCAUCUUUCAGUAAGGAUAACAAAAAUAGCCUAUGGAAUUGCAUUUUAAACAACACACCUCCACACCACACAUCCUCCCAAAACCAAGCCACAUACCCAUCACCUACAACAAUCAAAAUCGAAUCGGUUUCUAAUUCAUUCUGACUUUCCAUCUUCUUGAUAGAUUCCACAAUUCUCUGCCAACCUCCCAUACCUCCAGAAGGCCGAAAUUAUUAGCCAAAUCCCCAAAAUCACCAUGUAACCCUUUAAUGAGCCUCAACCAUAAAGUCGAAUGAUCAUGAAGAAACCGCCACUUCCAUUUAAAAAGGAGAUCCCGGUUAAACGCAUCCAAACUACCAACCUCUAAUCCACCUUUAUCCCUAGACUUAAGGAUAAUAUCCCAUUUGACCCAAUGAAUACAUCUUUGGUCUUCCUCCAUUCCCCCCCCCCCCCAAAAAAAAAAAAAAAAAAACGAGCCCUAAAAGUCUCCAACAAAUGAAAAACUGUAACCGGCAUACGAAAUAAAGAAAAGAAAUAAAUCCCAAGGCUGCCCAAAACAUAUUUAAUCAGAGUUAAAUGACCACCUAUGGAAAGCAUUUUAACUUUCCAAUUAGAAAGUCUCUUACGAAACCUAUCCACAAUCACAUCCCAGCUACUGACAUGACUCAUAGACCCACCCACCGGAAUUCCAAGGUAAGAAAAAGGAAAAAUAGCUCCAGCACAUCCACUAAUAGAAGCAAGAGAAGUAAAUUCUGACUGAUUAACCCCAACACCCAACAAACUAGAUUUAAAGAGAUUAAUCUUUAAACCCGAAACCAUAUAAAAACAACGGAGAAUAGGGAUAAGAUUUCGAAAAGUACCCUCCUCCUAUUUAGCCAAAAACAAAGCAUCAUCGACAUUCUCUAAAUUAGCCUCUUUAACCUUAACUCCACGAAAAUUCCCAGAAGCAACCGCAUCCUCUAUGGCUAUAUGAAGACCCUCCAUAGCAAUAAGAAUAAAAAAAAGGAGAGACUGGAUCACCUUGACGUAAACCUCUAAAAAGUUGAAACUCUUCAGUUGGGUUGCCAUUAACAAGAAUAGAAGAUCUAGCAUUUUUUAGUAAACCAUGAAUCCAAGACCUCCACCUAUCACCAAAGCCCAUAAACCCCAUAAUUUGAUCCAAAUAGACCCAACUAAUGGAAUCAUACGCUUUCUCAAAGUCAACUUUAAAAAUAAGAAAUUUCUUAUUUUUCUUUUUCCCCCAAGAAAUCAUCUCACUAACCAUAAAGGGCCUAAUUAAAAUUUGUCGACCUUUAAGAAAGCCGAGUGCUCCACACUAAUAACAUCAGGAAGCACCACCGCCAAACGUUUUGCUAAAAGUGUAGCAAUAAUCUUGAAUUGUAUCCCAAUAAGGCUAAUAGGUCGGAAAUCCUUCACAAGUAACAUAUUCUUAACCUUGGGGAUAAGACUAAUGAACGAGGAAUUACAACCCACCGGAAUAAUAGGUUUAUAAAAAAAUUCCUGCACAAAAGCAAUCACAUCAUCACCCAAGAUAUCCCAAUAGUGUUCAAGAAACUGAAUGGAAAAGUCAUCCAGACCUGGGGCUUUAUCCCCACCACAAUCCUAAACCGCCUCCUUAAUCUCUUCUACAAUAAAAGGCCUCUCUAAUCCCAAAGCAUUCUCCGACGUAUUAGUAGAAAAUCGAUUACUUCUCUCCGCCAUCCGAAUACCAUUAAACGCUUGAAACUUAGAAGAGUAAAAAUAAAAAAAUUCUUAUUUUAUUGCCACCAUAUCCGUAACCCACUCACUAAUUACCGAGACCCCACGAACUAACAUCUGACGUCUUUUUUUUCAACAUACCAUGUAAAAAGCUAGUAUUCUCAUCACCUUCAAUAGUUCAUUUCACCUUAGCUUUCUGGACCACAUCCGACACCUCCUGUUUUUCAAUAGAUGCCAAAGACCCAAGAACCUAUUUUUUUAAUUACAUAAAUCAAUAGAGAUAUCGCCACUAUCAAUACAAUUAUCAAUAUCAUGCAACCGAGACUUCAAAUCAACCUUUUGAUGCUCACGGAUCUCCUUAGCCUGGACAUGCCACUCCCGAAUCCUAUUCUGAAUAAACUUAAGCUUAUUUUUUUAGCACAACAAAUUUACUCCAACUUUGAUUCACCACAAACUCUGAAGCACUUACUUGAAUCACCUCAUCAAAGCCAUCCAACAACAUCCACAAAUUAAAUAAUCUAAAAGGAGGAGGACCAUAAGCAACCUUAACUUCAUGUACCAAAAUAGGACAAUGAUCAGACCACAACCGAUCUAACACUGCCACCUGUAAACCCUGAAACCGAUCGUAAAUACCCUCAGACACCAAAAAUUGAUCUAAUUUACUAAGCUAGACAUGAGAAAAGUCAACCCUAGUAAAUUUCUUCCCAAUCAUAGGCACAUCCACAACCCCCACAUCAUCUACAAAAUCAUUAAAAAUCACCAACAGAAGAUGAACAGAAAACGGAUCCAAACCUCUCCUCAACACUUCUAACCACAUUAAAAUCACUAAAAAUAACAUAAUUACCCCCAUAUCUACUAAUAAAAGAAGAAAUAUAAUUCCACAGCAAUCGUUUCUCUAUAACAUCUUGAGGAGCAUAAACAUUCACCAUACAACAUUCCAUAUUAAAUGGCACCUAUAUACCUCGAAAAAUAACAACAUUGAUGGUACAAACAAUGUUAUUUUUUUGAAACACAUUAGGAUCCCAAAUCGAUAAAAUACCCCCCUGAUCUCCCACGAACACUACUAAAAGCAAAACCAAAAUUACAAUUCCCCCACAUACUUAUAACUUUGAAGAGAUCCAACUGAGUCAUUCUAGUUUCUUGUAACCCCAAAAACGACCCACCAUUUUUAACACAAAAAGACUUCACCCAAUUCCUUUUAUGAUAAGAACGGGUGCUACAUAUAUUUAAAGACAUGCAAUUCAUUAAACAAUCUGAAUCACACCAAUAAUAGCCAAAAUUUGUUUCACAUUAUCUUUGUUACCCUCCAUAUCAUAACCAAGCAACCUUCUCAUUUCAACAUACCGUGUCAUGAUAUUUGAAAUAUCUUUAAUAAUAGACGGGACUUGUUUUUUCAACAAUCUCAAAGAACCAUGAGAACUAGCAGAAUUAGACUUCAUUUUACUAGUUCCAUGAUCCAACUCAAUAUCACGCUUGAAACCAGGUAGAUGUGAAAAAGACUAAGCCGAUACAUUAUCAUCACCCAACCCUUGAACAACCUCCACCGUAGGACCUGCCACUGUAGCAAUCAGGACAACCGAAAUUGUUCCAGAACCGUCAACAUCUACCAGACCAACCAUAGGAACAUCUAAUGGCACCGAAUUGAACACCCUCCUGUUGGCAUCAGAUUUUAACGAAUCUGUUUGAAAAAAAUCGGCCUUUCCGGUCCACAAAACCUGCCCCUGUUACUAACAGAAUCCUGCUCAAUGCCAAAUGAAUUAUCAUUCUCCAUAUCAAUAGACUAAACUUUACCCUUAUGUAUCAUUUCCCAUUUCUUCUUCAACUACAACAUCAUCAAAACCAUUAACACCCUUUUCCGAAUCACCAGAGAGAGAAGGUAGAUCACAAUCUAGUGCUUCUUCCUUACUAAAAAUAUUAGGUUCCCAAUUUGACAAUUCUCUAACCACUACAUCAUACAAAAUUCCUUGUACCACCAAAGACAAUUUAUCAUGAAUUAAUGAAGGUUUAGUUUCUUUAAUACAAACUCUUUUAAUCGACAAUGGAGCUUGAUUAUCAUCAUCCAAGAAACACACUUCACCCCAAAUUUCUGUCACCUUAUUCACUACACCAUCAUUCCAUGCACAACAUGGUAAGCCAAAAUUUUUAAUCCAAACAACCCUCUCUAAGACUUUAAACCCAUUAAACACAAAUUUGAAAUUAGAGAAAAAAGAACGAACAUAAGAAGACUUCUUAAACUUAGUACACAUCAUAUCUGAAUCAAACUCCACAUAAACCCAAUCACCACCCAAAUAUUUGACUGUAAAUCAUGAAAACCUUCCUCUUUCAGCAAGACUAAUAACUUCAAGAUCAACCUAACACUUCUAAAUUGACAAAAAACUGAUGGUUUCAAAGCCAAAUCAUUAACAAGAACACUUUCACCAUUAAGACCUAAUCCAUUAAAGCCAAAGAUGUAAGUCCUUAAUCCAUUAAGAGUUUCACCCAAAAACUUCCAAGAAGCUAAAGGGGACUCUCAAGGUCCAUAAAAAUGAUUGCUUUAUGGACAUGCAUGCCUCAUGCAUGUCAAUAAUCCAUUCUAGGUCAAAAAUGAAGAAAUUUAAACCAUAACUCAUAUGCAUGGAUCCAAUAAUCAACCAACUUCUAUAUCUGAACGUUAUCAUACUCAAGGGACCCUUAGAAUGUAUAAAGUUGCCAACUUUAUGUGUUCCUUCUAUUCAAACUUGCUUGAUCAUGAAAAACAUGGGACAACAACUUAGAUCUAACCACUUUAAGCAAUAAAGUUUGAGCCUUUGACACUUACAAAGGUCUAAAAACAAUAUGAGAUGAUGAUGAUUUUUCCUUUCAAGAUCAACCAAUAAAACACCUUCUUCUCAUUCUUCUUCAAGCCAACAAAUGCUCCAAAAAGCCAAGAAUCACCAAGGAAUCAGGGUUAUGGUUUUUCUGAGGUAAAAAGGUGUUGGAGGCUGGUAAUGAACCCUAAAAUUGACUUAGAGGGGCUUAAAUACAAAGGAAACCCCAAAAGAUCAUGGGCUUGGGUUGUAGUAGGUUUCACGUCAUGACACCUUGUGUCUCACGUCAUGAGGAUGGUCCGAAUCACAUUUUGCCCUUAACACGUCGUGAGCACCCAAUAGCCACGUCAUGUCACUCGAUUUCCUCAAAAAAAUCAACCUUUUGACUCCUUGAAACCGUAAAUCGAUCCAUCCUGGAAAACAAGUGUUACAUUAUAACUUGAUAUUGAUUAAAAUGUUGAUAGUGAAAUCAACUUUAACUGUUUAGGCAUGAACCAAAUCGAAGAUAGUUAAGAAAAAAAACAUCUUAAUCAAAAAAAGAUCAUUGUGAUCAUGUACAACUAAAUGCAUAGGAUUAUCAUGAGUGUAAAUCGUCUAAUGCGAGAUGAAUUGAUGGAAUGAUGAUUCUAUACGAAACUUCUGUGAUACUCGAUUUCGAGUUGAAUAGAUGAAUUCUUGAGAAUGGACUACAUAAAAAACAACUAAAUAUAUGGGAUCAAGAUCUAAGUAUGAUAGAGAUCAUUUUUCACUUCUAGGAUCUUAAAAUCGUAAAAUCUUGAGAUCAAGAUUGGUAUCUUUACAACCAUUGUUUAUCGCAAUAAUAUUUCCGAUGUAUACCUUUUUGAAAACCCAAUAACACAUCAACGUAUAAAACAUGUUGAAAAAUGACAUUCAUUUUGUUCGUGAACAAAUACGUAUUUGGCGAAUCAAAGUUAUGCAUGUGUCCAAUGAUUAUCGGUAUGUAGACAUCUUUGUUAAAGGCCUAACUCGACACCUCUUUCAUCAGGUUUUAAGAACAAUUUGAGCAUUUGAUAUCAUGCGGCUCAAAUUGCAGGAAAUACUAGAUGUNNNNNNNNNNNNNNNNNNNNNNNNNNNNNNNNNNNNNNNNNNNNNNNNNNNNNNNNNNNNNNNNNNNNNNNNNNNNNNNNNNNNNNNNNNNNNNNNNNNNNNNNNNNNNNNNNNNNNNNNNNNNNNNNNNNNNNNNNNNNNNNNNNNNNNNNNNNNNNNNNNNNNNNNNNNNNNNNNNNNNNNNNNNNNNNNNNNNNNNNNNNNNNNNNNNNNNNNNNNNNNNNNNNNNNNNNNNNNNNNNNNNNNNNNNNNNNNNNNNNNNNNNNNNNNNNNNNNNNNNNNNNNNNNNNNNNNNNNNNNNNNNNNNNNNNNNNNNNNNNNNNNNNNNNNNNNNNNNNNNNNNNNNNNNNNNNNNNNNNNNNNNNNNNNNNNNNNNNNNNNNNNNNNNNNNNNNNNNNNNNNNNNNNNNNNNNNNNNNNNNNNNNNNNNNNNNNNNNNNNNNNNNNNNNNNNNNNNNNNNNNNNNNNNNNNNNNNNNNNNNNNNNNNNNNNNNNNNNNNNNNNNNNNNNNNNNNNNNNNNNNNNNNNNNNNNNNNNNNNNNNNNNNNNNNNNNNNNNNNNNNNNNNNNNNNNNNNNNNNNNNNNNNNNNNNNNNNNNNNNNNNNNNNNNNNNNNNNNNNNNNNNNNNNNNNNNNNNNNNNNNNNNNNNNNNNNNNNNNNNNNNNNNNNNNNNNNNNNNNNNNNNNNNNNNNNNNNNNNNNNNNNNNNNNNNNNNNNNNNNNNNNNNNNNNNNNNNNNNNNNNNNNNNNNNNNNNNNNNNNNNNNNNNNNNNNNNNNNNNNNNNNNNNNNNNNNNNNNNNNNNNNNNNNNNNNNNNNNNNNNNNNNNNNNNNNNNNNNNNNNNNNNNNNNNNNNNNNNNNNNNNNNNNNNNNNNNNNNNNNUUAACUAUUAUUGGUAUAGAUUCUAUUUCCGUAGUUUUGUUGACCUAUAUUCUCUAUUUAUACAUUGGUUAAUUAUAAUGACAAAUGAGAUGAAUGAGAUCAUUCCACAAUCUUUUAAAUUGAAUUAAAUCUGAUCUUUAAAAAUAACAAAACUUGUGUUUUAAUUAAGAUGAAUGGUCACUUGUCUAAUAAUAAAACUAGGAUAAGACUCACUUGGAAUGUUAAUAUCUUAUAAAAGAAAAGCAACUAGUAGUUGAAAUGUAAGAAAAGAAAAUAAACUAAUUAAAAGCGAUGUUAGAAUCAACUUGAUCCAUUUCCAAAUUCCAAUUACAAACAACGUGAUCAAAUAUUAGAACACAUGUCGAAAAAGAAAAGGUGAUGUGUACCUACUGAUAUCAUUACCUUUUUUUAUAUAGGUUUUUAUAUGAGAGGUGAGGUGAUUCGUAAAUUACAAAUUUUAUCUCCAUACAACAAUUUAUAUUUUAAAAUAUUGUAUCGUACAACUAUACUAAACAUAUAAAACGUAUAAAACGUUGUGUCGUAAAUAUACGAAGGAGAAAUCAUAUAAUAGGUCUGGCCCAAUUAACUAAACACGUAAUUGAAACGUUUUAAUUUCUUAUCAAAGAACUACUGAAAUACUAUGAAAUUGGAAAGCAUUAAAAAGGAAGGAAAAAGAAACAAAGGGAGGAUGUGGGGGACUUGUGUCCAUUCACUGGAUCUGAAUAAUUGAGAGCAUGUGUGGCUGCCUGUUAAUCGAACGUGAUGGCUGAUGGGUAUUUGUCACGAUUGUAUCACGGCCCAAUAGCACAACUUCUGCUAAAUGCUCAUUAUUCAACACCCCAAUUAUGAAUAAACUUUCAUUUGGUUAUUUAGGAACGUAAAUGAUGUAAAAUAAGGCUAUUUAUGCUAAUAGAACUUCAAUGAAAGUCAGAAAGGAAUAAAAACGCAACAAAAGGUUAAAAAAAAAAGAAAUAAAGAAAUGUAAAUUUAUUAUAGUUCAUAUAAAUACAAUCGACAAUUUCAAACAAAACAGACGGAUCUAGGUGGUUCCCAUGGUAGCCCAAGAUGUUCCUCAAAAAAAUUUCAGUAGUGUAUUUUUUUUUCCGAUUUUUUUUCAAUAGUGUAAUUUUUUUCGGAUACCCCUUUACUCCACUUUACUUUGAUCUUGGCUCCGCCAAAAUCAUAUGAAACUUAAUCAAAACCAAAUUAUUUAUAUUUUGUUUAAAAUCAAUUUACUUUUGAAUCAAACAAUGCACCAAUUUCUUUGUAUCACGAAGAGCUGGAAGAGCUGAUGUACGUGUAACUUAAGUUCCUCCGUUGUUUGGUUUCAAAAAUAAACUAUUGUUAAAAGUAGUCUUACAGAUGUCUAAGGUGUUUGUUUUUUACUUUUUUUUUCUUGCAAAAACUCUUUUUUGAUCAUUUUUGUAUGUGGGCUUCUCCUAAAAUCUUUUGGAAACCACUUCUCACCGUAUUCACGUAUUUCUAGAGUCUAGACAUCAAAAUCCUGUUUAUAAAAAAUGGGCUCAAUAAAUCGCAAUCAUCUAUUGUUGAGUUGUUGUGCUUACUAGGCCCAUGUUUUAAGCCUAUUCAAUAGUUAACAUAGAAAAUGACAAAAUAAAGCUGCAUAGGAGGAGUGGACAACUGUAUAGGGGCGAAUUUAGAACAGACUGGGUCAGAAGCUGACUGAGUUAACUGCUGACUAAAACUUGUUGUUUGAUUUUGCAUAUAUUGAUUGUGCAAAAUGACUAUAUUACCCUCAAAGUGUCUAUCUUCUGAUUUCAUGAUUUUUGAGUUCUCUAUGAAGCAAUCAUACCUUCUGAGACAUUGAGGAUUAUCAAAUAAGCACAGUCGAAAUUUGAAAACCAAUUUAUUAGGAACUUUUUGAAGAAAUCUUACCUUAAUAACCUCUCUCAUUUCUUGAACUCUAAAAUUAAGACUUUUAUUAACAGUCAAGAAUACAGUUUACAAUAGUUUUUAACAGAAAACUAGCCAAACAUAUAUGUAUAUGGCAUAACUAUACAACGUAACCUUAAUCAAACAUCCAACCUCAUUACCCAUUUACUCCAACACUACAAAAUCUUGCUACACUGAAAGAUGAUGUUGACCUUUGACUGCAUAGUCAACCGUUUGACUUCAAGAACAUGAACCACUAAUACUUGUGUCAUCUUCCAUUUUCAGAUUCUAUAUUCAAAUACCUUCUUCAAUCAAAUUCUCCAUUGUUGCUUAAUACCUGUUUGGAGCAUUCAUCCAUCUAUUAAUGUGAUAGGAACCCAUCCCUCACGAUCCAUGUUUAACCUCAAAAAGUCACCUUUCACCAAAUUGUCAUCACCGUGAUUUCACAAAAAUAAUUUUGUCACCCACAAAUAUAGUAUAAUUUUUUUUAAGUAAAAACUCAUCUGAAAUAAUAUUCAAUCUGCUUAACUAUCUUGACAUUCAAAGGAGGGUUUAUGAGAGGUACAAACUUGGGAACCGAAGGAUGAGCUUGAGGAAGAACAUGUGGGCCCAUGUAUGGUUCAGAAGAUAGUGUAAGGAGAUAUACAUAUGAUACAACCAUAUCUAUGAAAAGUUUGAAGAAUUCAGUCAUAGAUUUUUAUCGGAGAAAAAGAAAACAUAAUGUCACUUACCAUAAGCCAUGGAAGCUCCAUAUGGAGGAGGAAUAAAUAGAGAAAAAGUUGGAUGUGGUGGUGGAAUAUAUCCCCCGAGGAGAUGCGGCGGAGGAGCGAUUUGAUGUUGCAUACGAACAUCUCCAGAUCCAUGACUUUGAGUACCAUGCCAAUCACGAUCAUGGUGUCACACCCCGAAAACCGAAAUGCGGAAACAUUUCCGGGGUUGACUCCACGUUGAGUAUCAAAUCCAAUGUACAUAGUAAGUAAAGUGAAACAAACAUUACAUUACAUAUUAAAGUUUUACGAUUUGAUUCAAAAGACACAGUUUAUACAGUUGUGAUACAUAAUAUAGUUAUAAACAAAACGAACGAGCCUUGCACACACACGAUCCUGAACCAAGUAAGUCUUCGGGUACCUGUACUAUCGUUGACCUGAGAACACAAGCAGUUUGAAAAUCAACAUAACGCUGGUGAGUUCAUAAGUAGUUUUGUUUUGUGAAAAAGUUUAUGUUUCCUUUCUGUUUCUGAAAAUGUAACACACACCAAGAAAAUCCCAUAUUUUCUUAAAAGUUGGUUGUUGUAUCACAAAAGUAAAGUAUAGUUUGAUUAUCCACUUCAUUGUUCUAUUCCUUUUAUGUACCAGUGUAUUCCCAGGAAAGUCCUAUACUUUCCUAAAUUGUUAGUUAUUAUAAAAGAUGUAAUGAUAUACAGUUGGUUACACUUUUCUGAUUAUGUAUAUGUUACCCAGNAUAUAUAUAUAUAUAUGUAAAAGCACUACAUCAAAACCAAUUCAAUGUUUCUAAAUAAUCAUGACUCUAUCCAUUCUGAUCCAUUGUGAUACUUUAAGUCUUCAAUUCUAUCUGAAACACAACAUCGCUUCAUGUAAAGGGUUUAAAUCUUUAAUCACUUUCUUCAUCACCAAAUCUGAAGAAAAAAAAUAGUUAUGCAGAGCUCCAUAGAAGCAACCGUCUCUUUGUUUGCUGUCACACAUCAUAAAGUUUGCAUGAAAUUAACAAAAACAAGCUAACCUUUAAACAAAUAACAAGUUAGCAAUUAGUAAUGAUGUGAACCUGAAAAUCUGUUUGAGAGGCUGAAUAACCAAGAUAAGAGACAAACACAAUAGAUACAAAGAUACCAAAGGUUGAAGAAAGGAAGAGAAAUUCUUCUGGAAUCUCAGUAUCGUCGAUAUAUAAAAUCAAAAUUUUCAGAAUCAAAUAGAAAACACUAUCUACAGACUAUAAUUCACAAAUUACGUGAAUCAAGAAUUUAGAAAACAAUCAAACAUUAAACAGAAAAUCGAAAACUACAAGAAUCAUAAAUAAAAAACAACAUAUAAAAUUAGAUAUCCAAUUGGAUACUCAAAAUCAGAAAUCGAAAUUUACCAGAAAAAUAAGUGUGAUUGUGCAACCACAACUAUGGGCAGAUGGGUUAUUCCAUCGUCAAUCGACAACAUACAUAUGGUGGAGGAGGACGUUGGAGAAGCAGGAAGGUGCAGUCGGUGGCUCUGCUUAGUAGGCCGUUGGACGUCGGUCAUAGGGUGGAGGAGGACGACGUGUUCUGAGCAAGGGAAGGAUUGGCUGACGAAUGAGAUGGAUGGUUUUUGGGGUUUCUAGUUUCAGUGCUUGAGAAAGAAACUGAUCUUCAAUUUGAGUGGGGAAGCGUUCGGAAGAGAUGAAAGACAGGAAGUGAUCCAUCUAGUGCCAAAGGGCAAGAUGGGCAGAUGCUAAAGAUGACCCAGUCAGGAGCUUUUUUCCUUGGACCGAUUCUGAGGAUUUAGGAGAGUUAUGAACCGAGUUAGACACAAUAAUCAUGACAUCAAACAAACCGACUCAUACUGAAUCCACAAAAAUGUCUGACUGGACUGGGUCAAAAGACAAUCAAACAACCGCUAAUUAAACAUCGAUUGGGCCUCAACUAACAUCCUCACAACUGCUACCAGAAUAGCAUGUUCUCGACCUUAACUAGUUUUUUUUUCUUCUUAAAAUAAUAAAAGAUAAUUAAUAAAAAAUAAAAGUACUAAUAAUUCAACCUAGUAAUAUGGAUUUAUUAACCAAGCACGUAACUGGUCCUUCGUAAUUGGCCAAGAUUCAAAAUAUGAUAAGAUGGUAUAACCAGUUAGAAUUUUUUGGACAUGAUUGGCCUUCCUUAAACAAGACCUUUCUUUAACUGAUCUCGGGCCCAAUUUGGAUAGCCAUACGUCUUGCCACCUCUAAUAGUCUAAUCUCAUGUGCACAAAUCGUAUUUUUGGAAACUGAAUCAAUUUUAAAUCGGUUCGGUUUGAAUCAACAAAGUCAAAACCGUUUAGACUAAAACUGAAUCAAAUUGAAACUAGUUCAAACUGAAAGGUAACUAAACCUAUACAAACCAGAUCAGGCCGGACUGAAACCGGAUUGGAAGAAACGGUUUGGAUAAACUGAUCUGAUUAAGUUUUAUUUAACUUUUUUUUUUUGUCUUUGCCCUACUUUAGGUUUUGGUUAUUGGUAACUGGGUUGAAAUCAAUUUUUCUUAUUUGUUGUAUUGUGUUGGCCCACUUUGUUUUGUGUUUUUAGCCCAAACAAAAAUGAGAGAAGAAAUGCUGAAUAGAAAAAAGAUUNNNNNNNNNNNNNNNNNNNNNNNNNNNNNNNNNNNNNNNNNNNNNNNNNNNNNNNNNNNNNNNNNNNNNNNNNNNNNNNNNNNNNNNNNNNNNNNNNNNNNNNNNNNNNNNNNNNNNNNNNNNNNNNNNNNNNNNNNNNNNNNNNNNNNNNNNNNNNNNNNNNNNNNNNNNNNNNNNNNNNNNNNNNNNNNNNNNNNNNNNNNNNNNNNNNNNNNNNNNNNNNNNNNNNNNNNNNNNNNNNNNNNNNNNNNNNNNNNNNNNNNNNNNNNNNNNNNNNNNNNNNNNNNNNNNNNNNNNNNNNNNNNNNNNNNNNNNNNNNNNNNNNNNNNNNNNNNNNNNNNNNNNNNNNNNNNNNNNNNNNNNNNNNNNNNNNNNNNNNNNNNNNNNNNNNNNNNNNNNNNNNNNNNNNNNNNNNNNNNNNNNNNNNNNNNNNNNNNNNNNNNNNNNNNNNNNNNNNNNNNNNNNNNNNNNNNNNNNNNNNNNNNNNNNNNNNNNNNNNNNNNNNNNNNNNNNNNNNNNNNNNNNNNNNNNNNNNNNNNNNNNNNNNNNNNNNNNNNNNNNNNNNNNNNNNNNNNNNNNNNNNNNNNNNNNNNNNNNNNNNNNNNNNNNNNNNNNNNNNNNNNNNNNNNNNNNNNNNNNNNNNNNNNNNNNNNNNNNNNNNNNNNNNNNNNNNNNNNNNNNNNNNNNNNNNNNNNNNCACACACACUAGCCGUUUACUCGUGCUAAGCGAUGGAUAGUGUAUAGUUUCUUUCAGAAAUUAGUUUCUAGAGGUGGAUAAUAAUUAGUUUCAAUUCAACGAUGGUAUUGCAAGGAUAGUUUGUUAUAAACACUUGAAAGCAAUGAAAUAAAGACCCAAUCAAUCUUUGAGUCAUGAUUUAUGUAUGGUCCUGCAAGGUCACUUUGCUACGGACACUUGCAAGCAAUUGUGCUCCAAGGAUAAAUUCUUGUUAAUUAGGAUAUAUUUGAGGAUUUUUUAAACUAGUCAUAUGAUAUCAUAUCUUUAUUAAACCAUAACGAUAUUUGGAUCUUUUUUGGCAUACUAUGAUAAUUAAAUAUGUUGUAUUCAUUUAAAAAACUUAAGUAAAUAACUUAUUUUUAAACGUGUAGUNNNNNNNNNNNNNNNNNNNNNNNNNNNNNNNNNNNNNNNNNNNNNNNNNNNNNNNNNNNNNNNNNNNNNNNNNNNNNNNNNNNNNNNNNNNNNNNNNNNNNNNNNNNNNNNNNNNNNNNNNNNNNNNNNNNNNNNNNNNNNNNNNNNNNNNNNNNNNNNNNNNNNNNNNNNNNNNNNNNNNNNNNNNNNUAUAUAUAUAUAUAUAUAAUUUACAUCCCAUACUAUAAAAAUAAAUUUACUUGCUUCGCCUGAAACGUUUAUAAAAUGAUCUAAUAUCGCUUUAAUUUUUAGACAUUUAGGCUAUGUUUGGCGUAUUAACUGAAAAGCUAGUUGUUAAAUAAAAAGUUAGUUGGUAACUGAAAAGCUAGCUGAUAAAAAAUAACGUUUGGUAAAACCAGCUGAAAUAUAUUAAAUUACAUAAAAUGACAUGUAAGAGUAUGUGCGUAUAUAAUUAAUUAAGGGGUGUAUUUGAAAUUUUUUGAAAAAACUCCUAAAAAGCUAGUCUAAGUGGCUUUUCAAAAAACUAGUUUGUAAGCUACUUUUUGGCUUCCCAAACAUGACAACAUAAAAAAACCCGAAAAAUAAGCUAGCUUAUCAGCUAGCUGUGACGCGCCAAACACAACCUUAGACAAAAUUAACUACUAAUAAUAAAUAAUUAACUCAAGUGACAAUCAAUCUCUAGUCUAAGCCAUCAUAGUCAUAUGUGAAAUCCGACAGCCAAAAAAAUUCAAGAAAGAAAGCAAAAUAACAGAAUACAUUGCAAUUUAAUGGUUUGGAAUAUUUAAAAUAAAUAAAUAAAUAAUGCAUGACACUCCUAUAGCAAAAUGAAGAGCAAAGAUAUUAAAUCCCACAAACGCCCCCAUGGUUCCCGCUUGAACAAACCUGCAACUAAUUCAACAUAAAAAUAGAAAAGGAAAUAAAAAUCAGGAAUGGUCAUUCAUAAACCGAAAAGAAGAAUAUUAUGAUACUAGGUGUAAGACCCAUGUAUUACAUGGGUUCAUUUAAAAAAAAAAUAUGAAAUUCUAAAAUUUUAAGAAGUUUAAAUUUAUAAAAAAAAUUAGAAAAAUAUUGAAUUAUUAAAACUUAAGUGUUUUUUUCCUUUAAAUUUAAACAUAUAAUUUAAAUAAAUAAACAAAGGAGACUAAUGGGGUUUUAAUUUUAAAAAUUUGAAAUUAGAAGAAAAGUCAAUUAUUGAAAUUGAUAUGCAUUUAUUAUUACAUUUAUUGCAAUUAAUGCAUUUAAUCAAUUAUUAUAUGAAAUUUAAUAAAAAUGAAAACAACCACAAAAUGUCAUGUGAAAAAAAAUUUAAUUGAAAAUAACCACAAAAUGACAAGUGGCAAAAUCAAUGAGAGUGUGGCAUGUGGCAAAAUGAUUUUCAUUUAUUACAGUAGAUUAUAAGAAAAGAAUAUUGUAAUUUACUUAAUAAAUUUUGAAAAAAAAAUUACACAUGUUAUGUUAUAAUUUUCCUUAACAUUCAUGAUGUAUUUUUCAUUCAUACGGAAUGAACUAUUCUAUUUCGGUCGUGAUUCGAUCAUACCAAAUAGUAGCUAAAUAUAUUUUGAUAAAUUAAUGUUGCAAAGAAGUGAACACCAGCUUGGAGAUCUUAAAUGUUUACAGGAAGAUAAGAAAUAAAUAGACAAAAUUGUAAAAAUGGUCCCUGUGGUUUGUCAAUUUCUGUGGAUAAGGUUUAAAAAAACGUUUAUUAGCAAAAACGGUCCCUAAUUGAUAGUUUUACUGUGAUUAUGGUCCCUACCUCGUUAAGUUUAACAGCAUGACCGUUAACUUUUGGCAAAUGACAAAUUUACCCCUUGGACUAUUUCUACAGUUUUAUCUUUUUACAUAACUAUAAGGACCAAUUAUGCAAUAUUUCUUUUUUAUUUUAUUGAAUUAUUAAAUAAUUGAAUUAUUUUUUUCUUUUUAAAUUUUUUCUUAUUGUAUUAAUUUUUAUUGGAUUAUUAUAUAUUAAUAAAUCUUAUAUUUAAUAUAUUAUAUUUAUAUAUUAAUAAAUAUUANNNNNNNNNNNNNNNNNNNNNNNNNNNNNNNNNNNNNNNNNNNNNNNNNNNNNNNNNNNNNNNNNNNNNNNNNNNNNNNNNNNNNNNNNNNNNNNNNNNNNNNNNNNNNNNNNNNNNNNNNNNNNNNNNNNNNNNNNNNNNNNNNNNNNNNNNNNNNNNNNNNNNNNNNNNNNNNNNNNNNNNNNNNNNNNNNNNNNNNNNNNNNNNNNNNNNNAUAUUACUUUUUUUUAUUAUUAACUUUUUAAUUGAUUUUUUUUAUUUUCUUCUUUAUUGCAUUAUUUUUUUUAUUGGAUUAUUAUAUAUUAAAAAAUAUUAUUUUUAGCAUAUAAUAUUUAUCUAUUAAUAAGUGUUAUUUUAAUGGAUUAUUAAUUUUAUUUAAUUAAUUUUUUUAUUGCAUUAGUUCUUUUUAUUGAAUUAUUAAUUUAAAUUUAUUAAUUUUAUUUAUAAUAAAUAAUAUUUUUUUGAUUGUUUUUAUUUUUUUUUUAAUUUCUUUCUUUAUUGUUUCAAAUAAAAAUACCAAAAAAUCUCACCCACCCCACAUUCUCUAAUUUAUUUUAAAUAUUUGGAAGAUAAUAUAUUUUGGACAACACCGCUAGGGGUGUUCACGAGGCGGUUCAGAUCGGAUAGUAAAAAAUUAUAAACCAUGACAACGGGGCGGGUACCUUGCUAGCACUAACCGUAACGAACCGAAUUGCUAAAAAAACCGAACCGAACCGAAUCGUAUAAAGGCGGGUAACCACGGUUCGGUUCACGGGUAUCCGUUAAAUAUAAAAAAUAAUAAUCAAUCAAAACUACAAACUCCAUUUUAAACAAUUCUUUUCUAAAAAUAAAAAACUCACAAAAUAAAGAAAAAAAAAUCAGUGCUUGCUAAUAAACCAACUAUUUAAUAUUAUAAAACCAAUAAUUAAUUCUUUGAUAUAUUGAUAUUUAAUAUUUAUUAAUUCUUUUUUUUUUGCAUGUGGCCUCAAACUAAUUCUUUGGUUUUUUCGGAUUCGGGUUGGCCAAAUCUGAGUAUUCACUACUCGGCGGUCGAUCGAACGAGUAUCGAAUAACGAGUACUAUAACUUUGUCACCACCUAUAGUGGCUAUGGUGGUUUGAAAACCAUCGAUCUAACAUUGUCGUCAUCGAUGAUGGUAUCUGUAAUGAAUGGUCGGCUGGAGGAAGUAUGCUUUAUGUGGUUUAUUUUCACAUUGUGUGGGUAGUCAACUGGUGUAGUUUUCUUCAAGAAUGACGACUGUAAUCGAUGAUCGAUGGUUUACAGCGAGAUAAUACGACGACGGAAGGUAGUAAAAUGCAACGAAUUGAGGAGCUGACCCAGAAUGUUUGGUAUUUUUAUUUAAAACAAUAAAGAAACAAAUUAAAAUAAAAUAAAAACAAUUAAAUAAAUAUUAUUUAUUAUAAAUAAAAAUAAUAAAUUUAAAUUAAUAAUCCAAUAAAAAGAACUAAUGCAAUAAAAAAUAUAAAAAAAAUAAUUAAAUGAAAUUAAUAAUCCAAUAAAGUAACACUUACUAAUAGAUAAAUAUUAUAUGCUAAAAAUAAUAUUUGUUAAUAUAUAAUAAUCCAAUAAAAAAGAACUAAUACAAUAAAGAAGAAAUUAAAAAAAACAAUUUAAAAAAUAAUAAUAAUAAAAGUAAUAUUUAUUAAUAUAUAAACAUAAUAUAUUAAAAAUAAUAUUUAUCAAUAUAUAAUAACCAAUCAAAAGAAUUAACGAAAUAGAAAAGUUAAUAAAUAGUUAAUUAAAUUAAUUUAAUAAUAAGAAAAAGUAAAUCUUACUAAUAGAUUAAUAUUAUAUGUUAAAAAUAAUAUUUAUUAUUAGAUAAAAAUCCAAUAAAAAAUUAAUUCAAUAAAGAUGAAAUUAAAAAAAUUGAUAAUAAAAGUAUAUAAUAAAAAAGUAAUAUUUAUUAAUAUAUAAAUAUAAUAUAUUAAAAAUAAUAUUUGUUAAUAUAUAAUAAUCAAGUAAAAAAAAUGAUAUAAUAAGAAAAAAAAAUAAAAAAGAAAAAAGUAAUUAAAGUAAUUAAUAUAUAAUAAUUCAAUAAAAUGAAAAAGUAAAUUUGCAUAAUUGGUCCUUGUAUUUUGGUAAAAAGAUAAAACUGCAUAAAUGGUCCCAAGGGUAAAUCUGUCAUUUCUGAAAAGUUAACAUCCAUGCCAUUAAACUUAACGAGGUUGGGAUCAAAACCGCAACAAAACCAUCAAAUAGGGACCUUUUUUGCUAAUAAACUUUUUUUUGGACCUUACCCACAAAAAUUGACAAACCAUAGGAACCAUUUUUGCAAUUUUGUCAAAUAAAUAUGUACAUCCUAAGUUGGAAUCCCACGAUUAAGGAACCAAGGUUGACCAAGAAUGGCCCUUUGAUUUCCAUCAGUAAAAGACACAACAAUUUUUGUAAAAACACCAAAAAAACAUAUGAGAGUGCCAACGAAAUCGUAGUUUCGAGCUACUAAAUUAUCAAAUUGAAAGUUAGGUAAAAGAGAAAAAUUGGUUUCUUUUAACUUUUAAAUAAUAUAAAUAUUUUUAGUUAAUAUAGAAAAUAUUAACCGGUUGAAUUGAUAAAAUGAUAUUUAUAUGUUAUGCUUUCCUAUAACUUUUUUCAAGCAUGAUUUGCCUUGGUAAACCGCAAAUGAUUUUUUUUUUUUUUUUUUUCUUAAUUUUUUUUAAUUUUUUGGUAAAUUAGUGAGAAAUAGGGAAAAAUAGAAAAUGGACUUACAUAUACUUGAUAUGAUCCAACAACAAUAUGUUUAGAGUUAUCGCAUUGUAGUUGUCGAAACCAUUACUCCAUUAACCUUCACAAGUUUCACAUUUUGAACAAUAGUGCUUUCCUUCUAUAAACGUGUUGCAUACUUGGUAAAAAUUACAAAAUUUUAGAUUAUGUAAUAAUAUAAUAACUGAUAUUGAAGUUACUAAGGCAGUAACUUGUAAGGACAUAAAAUCACUCUCAAUGGCUUAUGGAUUAGUUUUUAAUAUGAAAACUUUGACUUGUAACAUAAAAGAAUAAAUAACAUACAUUAUAUUAUGAAAUUCAAAUUGAAAUGUAACAUAACUUUACAAUAAUAUAAUAGAUGAACUUACAGUUUUAUUUUAAUUUUCCAGAUACAAGGAUGUGUGUUUGCAUAUCAUUACACAAAACUAUUAUUUAUACAUCACUUAAAGACUUAUCAUCCUCAUUCAUAAGCCAACAGGAGAAACAAAGAACGAAAUCAAUUAUUCCCAAAUGAAUAAACAUAUAAAAUUUAAGAAAUAUUUUAUUAAAGGUUUCAUCAUUCAACCUUUUUAACUACAUGUAUCAAUUGUUGUAAAAUCAACAAAAACUCAUUUUGUUAUCCUAAAGGAUGUAAGUAGUCAAGAACAGCUGUAAUGGAUGCAUUUGUAGGAUAUGGUGGUCACUAGUCCUCAUAACAUACUUUGUGUGGCAGCAAUACAAAAAUUUAAAACCCUAAGACACAGUUUGAAAUUGAAUUACACCAUUAACAGAAGAAAUCAUAAAAACCUAUAUCUUUUGAGCAGGAGAAGACAUUUCCAAUAGAAUAAUUAAAUCCCUAAAUUUGGAAAAAUAGAUAGAUGAAAUUAAUGGAUCUUCCUAUCAACCGUAAUUGAUAACCAAAUUUCAAAAUAAUUAAAUCAAAGAAAAUAAGAGCCUUUAGAGCAGACCUUAUCAGACGGUGAUUUCCUAUCAAUCCUACCAUUUUUCAAACCAAUAAUGAAACCCUAUCAGUUAAACAAUAAGAAUGCAUGACCUUUCUAUUAAAACUAUAUUUAAGAACAAUAACAAAAUGGUAUCCAUAUUUUCUAUACAAAUUGAUUAUCAGCAAACCAAAAUACAUAAUCAUUCAAAUCUUCAGAAUUCAAGAAGUAACAGGUAAAACAUUAAUUAAAUCGAACUAAAAGUACAUAAAGAGUACAAUGUUACCCGGACGAAAUGUCAAUGAAAGGAGUUCCAAUUCCACGGUUAAUUAGCUAAAAUUAGUUAACACAGGUCUUGAAAAAUCCAUAUCUGGCUUCAUCUCUCAAUGUCUUCCCAUUUAAGGGUCUGUAACACACACACACACAUAAACACACAUAAAGUUAAACGCAUAAACAUAGAGACCGUUAGAUAGAGGGUAUACACACACACGCAUGUACGCACACACACACAUACACACACACACAGAGACAUCGAUGGUGUGACUAUGGUGUAGAACUGGAUCUACUUAUAAUAAGAUAUCAAAAAUAUUGAUGAGAGAGAGAGAGAGGGUUGAAGAGGAGAAGGAGGCAAUGGAUUGAAAAGAGAUUAUGAGGGCUUAAAAAGAAACAAAAAACUAACCAUUAAGUUUUAGCUUUGACAAAAUCAGAAGUAAAAAAAAAUCCUAGAUUUGCUUCGUGUCCAAGUUUCUUUAGCCAUGUUCUUCACCAGAGAUAGCAGAUGCAGAAACAAAGAAACAUCAAUUUGAGGGUUAGUUUUGGAGGUGGAAAAUGAUGGUCACCAGUGAUGAGGGCGGCAAAUUUGUUGUGGUACACUGACUGUGCGAUNNNNGGGGAGUGAUGAUCGUUUAGUUGUUGGGAGAAAGUGAGUGAUACCGAACAGUGAGAGAGAUGUUAUAUAAAGCGUAGUUGGUGUUGAACGAUUCUUUGGCUGAAAACUAUGAAUAAUAAUUCAAAGUCCCGUAUCAAUCGUUGACUGGAUAGGUUUUACAUUUCCNUAUAUAUAUAUAUAUGGGAAAAUCAUUAGAAAAUGCAUACUAGGGUUACACAUUAAGGAUCCAAUCAACAAGUGACACAUGAAAAUUUCUUUAAUCAUACAUUAUAUACCCUAGACAUUAUUUAAAUUACAAAAAUCAUCCUUAAGAUUUGAUAAAUUUACAUGUUUACCCCUCAAAAUUUCAAACAUUUAACAUGAUCAAGUCACUGCCACUUGGAAACCAUCAAUACCUACAAAGAAAACUUGAUGAAGUCAAAUAUAAAAAUCCAGAAAAUCUACCUUGAAAAUUUAUCAGAAUAAAAUGUGAAGCCUCAAAAAGUGAACCCAUUUUCAGAUCAAACUAGAUAAACUCCAAGCAAAUUCUCGAAAUCAAACCGGAUCAUGAACACCCACACAUAUAAAAGAGCAUCAACAUUAGCAUAUUCUGAAGAUUAGCAUCAAAGUCAGUUACGAAUGUACUUUCCGAUUCUGUAAGAGGAAUCAAGAAAAUCGUUAGUCGUGUAGAACCAAAUUAGAAAAAUCAAAAUAAAAAAAUGCAAAACCUAACCUAAAUCGAUGAAGACAACUUUCCUGAUGAUGAAAUUAAAACCUAAAAUGCAAAAACUUGGGGUCGAUCAAGAUGAUUUUGCAAAUAAUGAAAUCGAUGGAAGACGAUUUUCUAGAUCAAAUAGAUGGAAGACGAUUUUCCAGAUCAAAUCGAUGAAGUCAUGGAGGCGGCUUGUUUGAACCUUGCAGAUGAUGUUGUUGGAAACCACCACUGGCAUCAUCAGAAACCGCCGCCACCGACACUAUUCACAUGGGAAACCACCAAAAAUAAUACACACACAUUAAGGAUAAAUCAAAGAUUCAGUAAAUACCUUAUAUAAGCCAAUGGCAACUAAACAUCUAUACAAAUAAGGUGAAAAGUCAUUUCGUAACUAAUUAAAGAACCACUUGUCUUCCAUUUGAGUAUGAAAUCAGUGAAAUAAUCUACAAAAAACUUACAAACUUGGAACUACAAAAUAAAAUCGAGAGAGAAAUCUUUGUUACCCUCUUCUAAAAUUGAACACCACUACACCAAACUAGGAAGAUAAAGACACGUUCACGCAGGUUUGAAUGACAGAGAACAAACAAUGGUGACAAAAAAGGUAGGGUUUUUUUUAAUAUUGUUGGUAUGAGGUGUUUUGGGGGAGACGGGAGGAAAUGAGAUACGAGAAGAGGUUAGACUGCUGAUGGUACUGAAGAGCCACACAAUCGUAUCUAGCUACUUUUGACUAAAAACAUAUCGAACUAAAAUCCUUAAUUCAUGCAAGAAACCCGAGAUAUCACAUUUCAAAUUUUAUCCUUUGCUUCAAUACACAAAUCAAGGGCUUUAAUCACUUAAUCCAACAUUAUGUACAUCCGAAAAGGGCCUAAACCAUAUUCAUUUGAAGCCCAACACCAUCACUUGAUCAAGUUUUGACCCAACGUCUCGAAAUUAGAAUAUCACUAAAACCAGGUGUUACAAUUCUGCCUCACUUAAACUUUAUUUCGUCUUCAAAAUCUAACUUGGUUAGAAUUCCUAAAAAAUGUACUAACACUAUUCCACAUGCCCCCUCCAAUCGCUUCAUAACAUUAACAAAUGCAAAUUGAAAACUCAAUAGACCAUGCAGAACCCAACUAAUGCCAAUAACAAUCCAAACACUUGAAAACAUCAAUUACAACAACCAUUUCCCUCUCCCCCAACGAUACAAUCCCACUUAUAGCGAACUACUCAAACCAGGAAAGUCUCAAAGCUAUGACCGAACUGACUUAUGCUUCAUAGAAUCAGGAAUCCACCAACCUAAAAUUUCUAGGGGCAAACAUAUUGGUUGAUGAUCAUCCACUCAUCAUACUUAUCCCAAGUUUCUGACUAGGAACACCACCAAACUGAGUAUAACAAUACUCAAAAUAUUUCGAUCAAGAAUUUUAACUCAACCUAAGAUCAAAAACCGCCUAAAAGUUCUCAGAUACACACUUGACUUCCUGCCAAGUCAUCACCAAGCUCCCACGAGUAUAUCAGUGGUCAAUUCGAAAGAAAAUCUUGGGCAACAUACAUACUCCCAAGCACUCGGGGGUACAAUUUAACUAAAAAAAAUUCAUCUAGGAUUCCUACAAUGAACUUGUCCACUGGAAAAUCAACUCAUUUGAUACCAAUCUUGCAACAACAAAUAAAGAUCCACUAAGGAACUCCACGAGGAACUGCCGAUAAACAACCAUGACUUUUCCAACGAGUCAAAAUCCUACCAAAACCCAACCUAUACUUGUCGACUACUGAGUCAUCAAAAAUAUUCCCAUACUGUUUAAAAUACCCAAUUAUGACAAAGACCAACCGGAUUAGACCAUGCGGAUCUCCAUGACAUAACUACCAACCCAGCACGUAAGUGACAUCCAUGAGGGUCCAUGACACGUCGUGACACUAUCCAACCAUUGGAAUGAGAAUCUCAUGGUUCCUCACCGUUCUUUCCAUCAUCCAAUCUCAGCUAUGAAGAUUCUCAACUAGCACCCGGUGGGCCUAUAGACAUAGAGCCAUCAUCCCACCGACCUGCAUGAAUCUAGUCAACAUCCCACUUAACACUUACCAAAACCACAGGAGCCAUACCAUACUUAAAUAUGAAACCCUUCCACAGUCUCACAACCAUUCAUUGUACAACCUAACUCACAUUAUAGAAUGCUACGAACCAAGUCGUAGACUUACCACACUUCCACAACCGUCUGCCAACCUAGUGAAUGCUACGACUACCCUACAAUCUUAAAACACUUCCAUAACUGUCAUGAUCCUAACUCAUGGUCUUGCCAACUGCCCAUAAGAAUACCUAACCAAAGAUCAACACGAGUCGAACCCUUAGCCCAUUAAAGCCUAUCAGGCAUUCAGGUCGUGCUUCAAACCCCAAAGCCUUCAUCAGACAAGAACAUGCAGAGAGUUCCUAACAUAAUCCUCAACCUGAACCUAGCCACAUAUCCAAAAUGUGACCCUACCUCUGCUUCACGUCCUAAAACGAGAUAAAAUGAAUCCUUUACCUUUUAUUCCUUGAUUACAACAGAUCGAUGAACACUAUUUCUUGUGUGAUCCUCGGCUCAAACCAUAACUAGAAACCAUCUAUCCUCUUGUCCCGAGAUACGAAACUCCAAGUUGAUCGACACUUGAAAAUAUUUUUGAUAUUCCCAAGCGGUUCUCCCCCACUUGGGAUCAAUCACUCCCUAACGACUUCAAGAAUUCCACUAUAUGUCCACAAUCCAUAAUGACAACACCCUAAUAUUUCCAGCUUGUAAUCACAAUUCAUAUUAAUAAACAUUCCAACUAUAAAACCUUCUCAAAGUAAUAUCCUAAUCUUAAAUAAUCGAAUAAAUCCUACAAUUUCUCAACUUAUUGAACCAAACUUCCAGUUUGAAGGAAAACUCCAUAAUUAACCUGAAUGCUAACAGAACCAAGAUCGGAUUGAAUCCUUUCCAAUCCUAUUGGCAUGACCCACCAAAAUUAUAUUUCAUGUAGAUCUGAGGCCCUUCCAAAAAAAUGUUGCUCCGACACCCUAACCAUGGGUCCAAAAUAUCCAUUGCUCCACACUUGAAGAAAGAUCGAUGCACCCACAACAUCGUCAAAUGAUACCACUCAACAAAUCUUGAACAAUAUCAACAACUAAACAAAACCCAAGCGAAAGUGCAUCCAUCACUCCCUGAAGUAGGUUGAUAAAUCAAUAAUAGCUCUACCCUUACUAAUGAUAGCGAUCAGUUCAACGAGCUAACCAAACCUUCAAUUGGUAUUCAACAUGAGCGGCACACACUCCUCUUAACUGUAUUUUGUUGUCCAAGAAGGGACAAUCAACUACAUCGAGUUCUUUGUCUUGAAGCUUUCGAUGCAAGGACCACACACACAACCCUGAAAGCAUGAAUCUAACAACAACUCAACCUGCAUCCAUGUUCUGAUCAAUACCUAAAUCCUCACCACCAUAAAAGAUCUCAACAAUCUUGAAUACUAGAUAUCCAACAAACUUACACUACAAAUUCCUCCGACCCGUUGUGCUGGAACCAUCAAAAUCAACUUGGCAGUUGAUCCUUCAAGCAGAAUACUUAGUCCUCCCCCACUCAGGGCUUACUCCCUCAUUAGCCGACUUCUUCCACGUCGAAGCCUAAAACCGGUUCUUCCAAAUACCCUAUAAACACGGAUCUCGGUAUGCAAAAUGGCAUAUGGAAAUUCUUUGAAUGAUAACAAAAAAACACAAAAAAAUCUUGAGCCUUAGAUGGAGACAUCAUAAACUUUCCCAACAUUACAACUUCCAACCCUUCAAGAACGAUCCAUACACCUUUUGAUUUACGAAGCAUUCCAAAGGCUGAAUCCCUGAUCUAAUAAAACCUAAAUAUGCUAAAAUAGUAGUUCUAAUAUACUAACUAUACGAAUGACUAUCCAUUUACAUGUCCAUUCUAAAUAAAACUGAAGAUCAAAAUUCACAUCCGUGAUUUCUUGCGAAUCAACCUUCACUUCCUGUCGGACGAUAGGUGUUGGGCAUUGUACUCUCUUCGCUACCCAUACAGAACAACCGAGUUUGAGAUGACCCGGCUGGUGACAGUGAAAACACGUCCGACCCUUCUUGCAAUCAGGGACGAUAUGCCAUUUCUUUCCAUACUUGUAGCAUUUGAACUUGUGGCAAGUAAACCUGUGGGAUCCCCCACACUUGCUGCAAAUCUCAAAGUCCCCUCUACUUCCAGUACCUAUGUUAGCAACGUCGAACUCUUCGCUCACCACUGAAAAUGUUGAAUCACGUGUCAACUUUCUCUUCUCUUGACACACUCCCACGUCAAGAUCUUUCCCCCUAGUCGCCUCAACAAUCUCUUCCACAUUCUGAAUGGCUGUAGAGAACCUAAGAAUUAGUCUUAUAGUUAUUCGUCCAAUGAUACCAGAAAAUUCUUCCAGUAAAAUCUGUGAAACCUCAUUGGUAAUCCAAUCGCGUAGUCCUGCGUUGUCCACAUUAAUCUCGGAGGACUUUGCUCUGAGUCUAGGCACCAAAAUCCUAUUAAACAAGACCAAGAUCUAUACUCAAAUCAAGGAAAAUCACAGGGAAUCUAAGAAGCCGUUAGGGUAUUGAUGUGUGGUUUUCUGUAUAUCGGGUAAAAUGUGAUGGAUCCCCACCUCAUCCCGCCAUCAGCUGCUAAAAGGCCCCAACAGUUGGACUCAGACAAUAGCUGCACAAUAGGGCCGAAUCAAUUAUUCUGAAACUAUUUAACCUUUGUAGCAUGUAACUUAAUGUAUUCAUUUAAUAUUUAACUCACAUAAAUAUUAACCCUACAAAGCACAAAGCAAGCACCAUUCGAGCAGAAGAACUCUACAUGCAACAAGGCAUCUUCCCUAAUAGGAAUCUCUCCUAAUAUGCAUUCUAUCAUGCAAUCCUGAGCAGAUCUUUAUUCUAACUUUUAGCAUGCAUUUCUAACAUAUCACCAAUACACAUAAAACAAGUGUGGGUAUCUUGGGGAAUAAAUUUCUUUGAUCUCCGGCUGAUUGUACACAUCACAUCCUCUCCUUUAGUUAUUUUAAAGUUAAUGAUGAAAAAUAUUUUGCGGAUCCAUAGUUUGAGUUUGGAAUCACACAAGUAUUCAUCCAAUUCUCUCAAACCAUGGCUCUGAUACCAACUUGUAACAUCCCAAAAACCAUUCCAAAGUUUUUCAUUUUUAUUAAAAACAUUUUCAUACACUACCAAAUAAUCAAUCAUUGUUUUCAAAUUAAAUCCAUAGAGCAAGAGUAUCAAAUAAUAUCUUAAGUAUAAAUCAGCAGGAGGAUGUGUACGAUCACAAAUUCGAUUCCUCUCAAUCACCAUUGGUACCUGAAAAAUAAAUUACAAACAACUAGGUAAGCAUGAAGCUUAGUGCGUUCCCCAAAACACCCCACACAUUAAUACAUAAACAAUACAUGCAUACCGGACCCACAAUAUAAAAAUGGAUUGCCCCUAGGCCCAUAAUCUCCCGACUGGAUUGCCCCUGGCCUACAGUCUCCUGAUUGGAUUGACCUUGGCUCACAGUCUCCCGUCUGGAUUACCCCCGAGUUUAUUGGUAUACAACACAAAGCAGUACUACCUUAACCCAACCAUACUAUCUCGACAUAUGCAAACAGAUAAACAAUAACUAGCAAUAUAGGUAAUCAUACAGAUAUACCAAUAUAACAUGCCACUAUAGCAUAGAAACAUCCUAUACACAAGGAUACAUAACAUAAUCUAAUGGGCCAAAAUCGGUGCCUUCGACCCACGAGUAUAAUGACAAACUCACCUCAAUUCUGAAGACAAGAUAAACCACCCAUUCAAGCCGAUAAUAUCAAGCCUCCUCUUGCUAAACCACAAUAAAAACCUAAUUAAAAAUCAAGGAAAUGACUGGCCCACGAAGGUCUAAGCUCAUAAUUAAAUCUCCUUUGGGCAAAAGACCAUUUUGCCCUUCUAAUAUUAAGUCCAAAAGUCAAACCGGCCAGAAAGUUAAUGAUCAACCCUCAGUUGACUUACACCCUGCGUAACUAAUCUACACCCUGCAUAGAGCUACGACAUGCGUACCUAGAUUAUGCCCUGUGUAGUGCCCCUGAUCCCAAAAAAUUCUAUUAAGCUCUUAAUACAGCAAGCCAAACUCUCAAUCCCCCAUAUCUAAUCUAAAUGAAUGUCUUAAUGGAUAAAGGCUCUAACUUUAUCCAUUGUAUCGUAACAAAGAGCACAAUACCAAAGCCUAGGUCCAUAAAGUUAUCUAUAGCUCAAGAAUUCAUGCAUGGAUAAAUGAGAGUGCCCAAGCUCUCAUUUUUUUGACUCAAUAUACUCAAAACAUCAUAAGGAGGCACUCAAAUGGUCUAGAGUAACCCAUACUCACAAGAACCAAGAUUAAGGGACAAAAAACAUAAAACCCAUGAACUAAUUAGAUCUAACAAAUGGAACAUCAAGAUGCAAGCUUUAUACCUUCUGGAGAAGGGUGAUGAAGUGCAAAUUCCGGAUCUACAAAGCUUAGAGCUCACACUUGAUUAUCCAAUGGACUCCUUCUUUAGGAAUGCACCUAAAAAUCACACUAAUGCUUUCAAAACUCACAAUUGGUGGCUAUGGUUUCAAAGGAACGGUUUGAGGUGAUGGAGGUUGGUAAUGUGAAGGGUUCCAAGAAGUUAGAUCCCUUAAAUAGGGACCAAAACCUUAGGCUUAGGGUUUUGGUCAGAAUCAACUACGCGAGGUGUAGCUUAAUUUACACCGUGCAUAACUCAUUAAAAUCGCGAUUUGAUUUCAGCAUCUACGCCGUGCGUAGGGCAAAAAACCCCAACUUCCAAUUCAACUUCAAACAACCAUAAUUUGUUCCUUUCAACUCAGUUUUUGGUAUUCUUUAUAUGCAUAGAAAGAUAUUCUAGAGCCCCACAACCUUGUCUAGUUACUUUUGACUAAAAACAUAUCGAAAUAAAAUCAUUAAUUCAUGCAAGAAACCCGAGAUAUCACCAUUCAAAAUUUACCCUUUGAUUCAAAGCAUAAAUCGAGAGUUUUAAUCACUUAAUCCAACAUUACCAACAUUCGAAAAGGGCCUAAACCCUAUUCCUUUGAAGCCCAACACCAUCACUUGAUCAAAUUCCGGCUUAAUGUCUCGAAAUUAGAACAUCACUAAAACCAGGUGUUACAGACUGGAUUAUAAGUGAUGGUAAACUAAGUUUGCUUGGAUAUACCAAAAUUUUGCUUUUUGCUGGGUAACUUGAUGAAAUUUAAAAAUAAAUAAUAAUUUUCAUGUUGCUUCUUAAUCUUAUAAUAUAAAUAAGACAAUAUUAUUAACUUUUGUUAUGAGCAUUUUUAAUGUUGUAAUCUCUUUUAAUAAUUAAAAAUUUUCAUUUCAGGUUGCAAUGGAAACUCUUCCUCUAUAGUUGGUUCACUCUCAGUGAUCUGUUUUGUUUAUACAAUGCAAGUUUUCAUGAGUCAGGAUUUGAUUGGAUCCUUAUUUUCCCUUCUUAAAUCCAUCUCACGAUGGAAGUCUAAAGUUGCUACACAUUCAUCUCCAUCGAAUCCCACCAAAAAGCAAGACAAAUCUGGAUAUACUUACUGGUUAUAGUGUUUGUUGUGAUUUACAGGUAUUUGGUACCCUAGAUUCUUUCUCGCAAUGUCCAAAAAGGAUAAAGUGGUGCAACUUAUAAAAAAGAUAAAGAGGUGCAACUUAUUUGUCUUUUGUUGUAUCUAAUUAAACUUAUUUGUAAAUUUAGUAAUUUAACAAUCGAAAGUGUGUAAUUAUAUUUUAAUCAAACACCUUUUAUCCCACGCAAUGCGUGGGAUACCCUUGUAGUUUAUACUAAUAUUAUGAGGCCUACAUGUGAGUACUAACAAUAUAAGAAACAAAGUGGACCAAAAAAAUAUAUGUUAAGGGAAAUAACAUAAAAGAAAAUAAGUUUUAUAAAAUUUUAAUUUUAACAUCUCAUCAUAUUUUUUAAUAAUUAAGACAUCAAGUUUUCACAAAGUUUAAUAUAAGAUAUUAUAUUUUUGAAUUUGUUUCAAUGUUGACCAUUUGUCCAGUCAAUCAAGUUGUUAAGUGAUAUGACAUGGUGAUGUAUCAAUAUUUGAUGAUGUGACACUGACAUACAUGAUGACGUGACCCUUUUUUGGUGACAUCACUUUUAGGGUGUAAAAAUUGAAAAAUAAAAUAAAUGUAGUGACUUAAUUGAAAAUAAAACACAAUGUCAAAAUUGAACUUUUUUUAACACUUAGUGUUUUUUUUGUGUAAUUUACCCUUAUUAUAACUAAAUAAUUAGGAUUUGUUGGAGUUGUUGGAAACCCUAUGUAGGCAAGCUUUUGAAACAAAACAACAAAAUAAAAUUGACACCUAUAGAUGCGGUGCUCCAUGCUAUUUGUUUGUAUUCCAAUCUCCAUCUCCUGAAUUUUCCUCGAUAAUUUCUUGUUUUUAAUUUGCCAUUAAUCUUUAAUCUACCAUGAAGCCCAUAAAUAAUCUAUCUACCUUAUUGUAUUUAUGUUUUAUUGGCAUAAUUGUCAAGCUUCUAGUCAGAANNNNNNNNNNNNNNNNNNNNNNNNNNNNNNNNNGGGGGUAAAUACCCUUUGUAGGACUUAUUGGAGGGGUUGGAGACCCUUUGUAGGCAUGAUUUUGGAGCAAAACAAAAUAAAAGACUAUAUGGUUUCGAGCGGUGGAUUUCGUAAGAAGAUGAAUAUUAAGACAAGAAGUUCUCGUGACCACCAUUUUGAGGCUACAAAAUCUAGGCAUUAAUUGAUAUCAUAAAUCUGUAACGAACGAAUAAUCAAAACAUUUUAUUUCGAAAAGAAUGUGAUUACCAAACCAUGAUAGCUGAUGAACAACAAACUAGAACUCGUUCAUACCUAUACGUGCAUCCAUGGAGAAAGACACAUAAAUAUAAUUACACAACGAUGAUUAUUCGAAAUAAAAAACCAUCAACAUCAAAUAGAACGAUUUUGUCAAAUUAAACGUCUUAACAUCACCAACGGGACCCAUCUUUAAAUUAAAGAUCAAAACCCAACACAGAAGAACAUUGAAACAUAAAAUGAGUGAAUAGAUCAUGAGUCCUAAUUAUUAAGUUAUAAUAAGGGAAAAUUGCACAUAAAACACAAAGUGUUCAUAAAAGUUCAAUUAUGACACUAUGUUUUGUUUUCAAUUAAGUUGCUACUUUUAUUUUCAAUUUUGACACCCAUAAUUUCAUAUCGCCAAAAAGUGUCAUGUCAUCAUGCAAUGUCAAGUGUCACGUCAUCAAAGAAUGGCACGUCAUCAUGCUACGUUAGUUGGCAAUUGGAUUGACUUAUUAAAUCGUCAACAUUGAAACAAAUUGAAAAAUAUAGUGUUUUUUUAUCAAACUUUAUGAAAAUUUAAUGUCUUAAUUGUAAAAAAGCCAUGGUUUCAAAAUCGAGAUUUUAUGAAACUUAAUGUAUUUUAUGCUAUUUGCCCUUUACAAUAUAUUAAAAUUUAAAAAUAGUAUUUUGGAAAAAUAAAUUCAUUGCCAUUCUGAUUUACAUUUUGAUUUCUAUCGUCGUAUUUAACAAAAAAGUAAGUAUUAAAUACAUUAGAUUAAUAAUUAUAAAGUGAUAGUAUUAAGGAGUUAUAAUUUUUUACAUCCAAAUUAUAUUAACAAAUUUACAGGGUUGUAAAUUGAAGAAUUUGUGUUAAAAAAUAAGUUGAAAAGUCAUAAUUUUUUUUAAUAAUUAUGGUCGAAAUUACAUGAUAUUUAUUAUAAUAGAUAUCUGUCAUCAUACUAUACUAUAAAGGAAACAUUUUUCCUUUCACCACAUUCAUUUGAAACUUUCAUGCAUUUUUCUUUCACCUCAUUCACUUGAAACUCCCAUUACUUUUCAAUUUCUUUCUAAUAAUGAUUAUAAGUUGGUUAAUAAGGUUAAAUAAAUAUCGAACCUAAAGUGUAAUUAUAUAUAAACUAAAUUUCAAUAUUAAAAAAUAUCUUUAAUUCUACAUAUAAAGUUAUGUUUUUUAGCUUUUUGAUGGUUUUUUUAUGCAUAAGAACAAUCCUAUGUACUCAUACAAACCCUAAUGCUUGGAUUGUAACGCCCAAAUUCUGGUAUGCUAUUUAAUUAUGUUUUAGUCAAAUAGUUUUUUAAAAGGAACUCGGCGAGUCAGUAGCCCAACUCGUCGAGUAGAGACGGGUUCCCGAGCACGUGUAGUUAGGCGACUCGACGAGUCCAUAUUCAGGACUCGGCGAGUCCGCCAGUCUGGAAGAAACCCUAAAUCCGCGGGUUUGUACCCUAUUUAAACAACUUUUAGGGCAUCCAUUAGCCCCCUCACCCACAUAAAAGCCUCACAUGAAAACCCUAGCCUCCCUUAUCAUUUUGGUGUGAUUUUUCCUCACUUUGUGAAGUUGUGAUUCAUUGGUGAAUUAGAAGAAGACAAGAGAAGAGGAGGAAUCAAGGAAGAAGCAAGUAGAUCUGAGUUCUUGGUGGUAUCACAGUCUUUAUUGAGGUAUUAGCCCCAAACCCUUAUUCUUCUUCAAGUAGAUCUCAUAAGUAGCUUGUUUUUGCCAUUUUGGCUUAAUAGUGUUAUGGAGACCAGGUGGUGUCGAAUAGCCUUCGGAUCUACCAAGAUUGGAGCUCUAGAAGCUCAGAUCUAUUGCUUUUAUGGAACCAUUUUGCAUGAGGACCCUAGAUCUACCCCUUUUAGUGCAUUUUGAGCCUUUAAACCUUUAUGGAUGCUUAUGUACACGUAAAGUUGGAAACUUUACGUGUCAAUCAAGCCUUAGGAACCCAUAUCUAUAAGUUGGAUGCACUGGAUUCGAGCAUAAUCGACUGUAUAGAAGUUUCAUGCAACCGACUUGGCGAGUCGUUCUUCGGAAUCGGCGAGUCGAGUCGCGAGUCCCUGAUGUUUCUUUUUGUGAGUUAUGCCGAGUGGAACCAGUGGGUUGUAGAUGGACUCAGAGAGUCGGAGAUCAGACUCAUUCAUGGAGGGACUCGGCGAGUCAAUGCCCUAACUCGGCGAGUCUAAGACAAUCUUCAUAUCUCAAGAACAGACUCGGCGAGUUGUUCAUACAACUCGGCAAGUCAUAGUCAAAUUGUUCAUCUGAUAAAGGAGAACUCGACGAGUUGUUCAUACAACUCGGCGAGUCAGAUGCAGAUUGACUGAAUGUUAGUAUCGAAGAGGAACUCGUCGAGUCUAUGUCAAACUCGACGAGUAGUAGCGGGCAAGAUUGAGAGAUGAGAAUAGGGAAUCGACGAGUUGGCGGCCCAACUCGACGAGUCAGGUCAAUUGUAUGUUGACUUAGACAGAGGAUUGAAUUUGACUUGGGGUAAAAUGGUCAUUUUACCCUCAGUAUGGUUAUCAGUAUUUGAUUGAGUGUACUUAUAGAAAUUGUACCCGGGGUGAAACUGGAGCCGCAGCAGACAGAUUCCAGAGCAGUUCAUUCAACAGCUAGACUACGAGGUGAGUCUUCCUUCCAGUAGGAACGGGUCUACGACCACAAUGUCGGCCUGUUAGUUAGCAGUAGUUCUGGACCUUGGUCCGAUGCAGUAGUUAGAUUGCUUGAUGUCUUUGUGAUUCAAGUAUGUUGUGUAUUAUGUGUUCCGGACUUCGAUCCGAUGCAGUAUGUAGUAUAUGUGCUUAUGCCAGUUGAUAUGUUUAUGUUAUGCCAUGUUAUGCUCAGUCAGUUUCCGGACUUCGGUCCGAUGCAGGGGACAAGGUCCCAGUCAGUUUUGGUUUUCGGUCCGAUGCAGUUAGUUCCGGACUUUGGUCAGAUGCAGGGUACAAGGUCCUAGUUAGUUCCGGACUUCGGUCCGAUGCAGUUUCCAGGCUUCGGUCUGAUGCAGUGGGCAGGGCCCUGGUUAGUUCCGCACUUCGGUCCGAUGCAGUGGGCAAGGCCCAGUAUGUGUUUAUAUGUUAUUGUAUGGUAUGUGGUAGUUUGGGGGAGCUCACUAAGCUUCAUGCUUACAGUUUCAGCUUUGAUUUCAGGUACUUCCACAAGUAAAGGGAAGAGCUCGGGAUGAUGGCAUCGCACACACCACAACUUCAGUUUUUGUCCUGGGAGUCGAUUAGCUUUUCAUUGACAUGAUUCGAUACAAUCUUGAUACAGUUUUCUUGUGAUACUUUGUUAUGGUUUUGGAUACAUUGAUGUAUGGGUUUUAUUUUAUGGUAUUGAUCUAAUGAUUUUAGUAAUGAUUAAACAAAAAAUUUUGGGUCGUAUUUUGGGAUGUUACAUGGAUCUAGGUUUCUCUAUUGAACAUGCAAUGAAUCCAAGACUUGCAAACCCUAAUCUAGCAUACAUAAUUUCGAAAUUAGCUAAUUACAUCAGAUCUAGAUGUUUACUUCUUCAAAUAGCGGCUUGAAUAUUCUUUUCUUGAGCUUAGAGUCACAAGUGUAACUCCUCUAAUGGCUUACAAACACCACAAGCAAGAAGGCAACUUUGAGAGAGGAGGGAGGAUGCUAAUUUUCGGCCCUAGGGUUUCUCUUGGAAUCAAGUGGCCGGAAAUUGAAGGCUAGGGGCCUUAUUUAUACUGUAGGCUGCUAGGGUUUCAGUCUAAACUCUAAUGGACAGCUUAGUCACCAAAGAACCCAAGGAACCUUCUGGAAUAAGGCCUUGGAUGAAAAUAUGAUGAUCCUUCAUCAUAAUUUCGUUCCCCCUUAGUCCAUUAGGUUUCCUAGCCCGAAACACAACUAUCUCACAUUUGACAGUUUAUGCCCCUUUAUUUAAUUAAUCUCCUUUAGCCACCAAAUUAAUUCCUAAUUAAUUUAUGACUAAUACUAACUAAAUAAAUAUGAUUUCUCCUUUAAUAUAUUAUUCUUAUAAUAUAUUAAUAAAUCAUAUUAUCCUCUCUUUCUCUCUCAUCAAGUUACCCUGUCAAGUUGCUUUGGUGAAGACAACCCAAAAGGACCAUGCACAACCCGGUCAAGUACAUACCAAAUAUAGUUACGGGCUUAGACACUAAUCCAACAGUCUCUCACUUGGAUAAGUGUAAUAAAUACAUCUCGCAUACGACUUCAAAAUCCGGUUUAGCAAUCGUAGCUCUUAUACGCUGCUGUCAACUCUAAUCAAAAUCUUGUCCUUUAGAUAAGGGAUCAUUUAAUCCUCUAUUCUAGAUAUCAUGCUGACAAUCACAUGGAACAUAGUCAUACUUAUUGUUCAGCAUAUUGUUCCUCGAUCUAUGAUUUGUUUGACAUAGAACUUAGUUGAACACAUCAACUUUGUCCUGACCGGGCCCGACACAUAAGUCAAACCAAAUCAUCAAGUGGCCAGACAUCACUUUUAUCCUCUUAGAAUAAAAGGAACAGACAAACUUCGACUUAUAUGCUUUUAUUAUUCACUGGCUAAAUCAUACACAACAAUGUGUUUUAUAACAUCAAGUUACUGAUGCGUUUACGCAUUGUCAAUGAACAACUAACCAAUAGACAAUAACCAUAUCUCUAGGUUUAAAGAUUAUAUGAGAUUAUCGUCUUGCGAUCACUCGUGAUAAAUUUCAUGAAGUGAUACAAGCAAGUGCGGGUUUAUUCCAAUGCUCAAAUCACAAUUCAUAAGCACUCUUGAACUUUGCAGCAAACCUUUGCCAUGUCCAAAACCUUUUAGACAAUCUUCAAACAAAUUCAUGAUAGUCUUCUUUCAUAUCUACUUCCAACAUAUGAACGACUGUGGACUGUUUGAAUAAUCUUAUCAUUCAGGAAGUCAAAACAUGCAAAAUUGAAACAAUAGAUAAAUAAUCAACACAAGAUAGUAUCUUUACUUAUAAAUAACACACCUUUAUUUAUUCAUCAAAUGUCAAGUACAAAUUUAUCCAUUACACGUUUCCUAUCUAAUCUAAACUUAUCGUCCUUCAGCCCAAUGCUCCUAGCGUGCUGCAAGUGCUUAACCCUACUCAGUCCCUUCGUAAGGGGAUCUGUUGGGUUAUCUUUUGACGAUACCCUCUUCACUACGAGGAGUCCCUCUUCUACCCGAUGUCUAAUGAAAUGGUAUUUUCUGUCGAUAUGUCUGGAUCUGCCGUGAUCCCUUGGUUCCUUGGUUAAGGCAACCGCUCCUUCAUUAUCAUAGAAAAUCUCCAUGGGCUCCUUUAUGGAUGGCACAACUCCAAGGUCUUCAAUGAAGUUCUUCAAGCAUAUUGCCUCUUUCGACGCUUCACUUGCUGCAAUGUACUCUGAUUCACACGUUGAAUCAGCCACAGUCUCCUUCUUGGAACUUUUCCAAGUCACUGCUCCUCCGUUAAGGGUAAAGACCCAGCCUGAAUGCGAAUGGUAAUUAUCCCGAUCCGUCUGGAAACUAGCAUCACUGUACCCUCGUACCCUCAAGUCAUCACUCCCACCGAGGACUAGAAACCAUUCCUUGGUCCUCUGAAGGUACUUAAGAAUAUUCUUGACAACAAUCCAAUGCGCUUUACCAGGGUUCCCUUGAUAUUUGCUGACCAUGCUCAAAGCGAAGGCCACAUCAGGGCGAGUACAAGUCAUAGCGUACAUGAUAGAGCUAACUGCAGAAGUGUAAGGUACUCGGCUCAUAUCAGCUAUUUCUGCCUCUGUACUCAGGCAUUGGGUCUUACUCAACUUGGUAUUACUUUGGAUUGGCAACUCCCUUUUCUUGGAAUUUCCAUACUAAAACGCUUUAGUACCUUACCCUUAUCCAAGUAUGUAUCCUGACUGAGUCCUAUCAGUAUUUUACUUAUGUUUCUUACUAUCCUUAUUCCCAGUAUAUAUGCAGCCUCUCCGAGGUCCUUCAUAGAGAUACACUUCCCAAGCCAGGACUUGACCUCCUGCAAGGUCGGGACGUUGUUUCCUAUGAGCAGUAUGUCAUCGACAUACAAUACGAGGAAGCUUACUGAACUCCCACUGGCCUUGACAUACACACAUGACUCAUCUUCGCUUUGCAGAAAGCCAAACUCUUUGACCUUCUCGUCAAAACAAAGAUUCCAUCUGCGAGACGCUUGCCUUAUUCCAUAAAUGGAUUUCUCAACCUUACACACUCUAUUUGGAUGCUUCGCAUCGACAAAACCCUCUGGCUGAUUCAUGUAAACAUCCUCAACCAACUUUCCAUUAAGAAAAGCGGUUUUCACGUCCAUCUGCCAUAUUUCAUAAUCAUGAAAUGCAACUAUUGCGAGCAUCACCCUAAUAUACUUUAUCUUAGCAACCGGUGAAAAGGUCUCAUCAUAGUCAACUCCAGGAGUUUGAGUAAAGCCCUUUGCAACCAAUCACGCUUUAUAAGUGUGCACAUUCCCAUCCAUGUCUGUCUUCUUCUUGAAGAUCCAUUUUCACCCGACUGUCUUACGACUCGGCACAUUAUCAACCAAAUUCCAAACUUGGCUGUCGUACAUGGAUUGAAUCUCGCUGUCCAUUGCCUCCUUCCAUUUAGCAAACUCUGGGCCUGCCAUGGCUUCCUUGUAGCUGCUAGGUUCGUCCAAGUUUACUAGUGUACUAUCACUAAUAAAUGUAUCCCCUUUAGUAGUAAUAUGGAAUCCAUAUAACUGGGGUGGAGCACUAGCCCUACUGGAACAUCUAAGAGGUAAGGACUCGUCAACAGGUUCAACAUGAGUUUCCUCCUCAGGUUGAUUGCCAGUAUUAGAGGUUCCUUCAUCGCUUUGUUCUUGAAUCUCUUCAAGAUCAAUUUUCCUCCCACUGUCCUCUUGGCUUAUGAGUUCUCUUUCUCGGAAAACCCUUCUCCUCGCAACGAAGACAACAUUGUCACUCGAUCUGUAGAAGAGAUAGCCAAAGGACUUCUGUAACACUUCUCACUACGAGGUUCGAGCUUGUCGUGAGUUUCUCGUCUUAUGAAAGCCUCGCAACCCCAAAACUUGAUAUGUGCGAAUGAGGGAGCUUUCCCUGUCCACAUUUCGUGAGGUGUUUUGGUAACCUUCUUGGUGGGAACUAAAUUAAGGAUAUGGGCGACCGUCUCUAAGGCGUACCCCCAAAAAGCUAUUGGUAAUGAAGCCCGACUCAUCAUAGAACGAACCAUGUCCAACAAGGUCCGAUUACGUCUCUCAGCCACACCAUUCAAUUGUGGCAUUCUUGGAGGCGUCAAUUGCAAAACGAUUCCGCAUUCCUUUAUAUAGUCGUGAAACUCAAGACUUAGGUAAUCUCCUCCUCGGUCUGACCAAAGCAUCUUGAUUUUCCUGCCCAGCUGAUUUUCCACUUCAUUCUUAAAAUCUUUGAACUUUUCAAAGGUUUCUGAUUUUUUGCUUGAUUAAGUAGAUAUAUCCAUAUCUGCUAUAAUCAUCCGUAAAAGUCACGUAGAAAUGGCAAGCAUCCUUUGUGGUGGAUCUAAAGGGCCUACACACAUCAAUGUGUAUGAGAUCCAAUAGACCCUUACCCCUAUCACAAGUGUCAGUAAAGGGUGACUUGAUCAUCUUCCCAAGCAAACAAGAUUCACACACGUCAUCAUCCCUAAGGUCGAAUGACUCCAACACUCCAUCCUUUUGGAGUUGGGCUAUGCGUUUCUUGUUCACAUGGCCAAGGCGACAAUGCCACAAGCAUGAUUUGUAUAAACUAUUAGACAAAUCAACAUUCAACACAUCAUUUCCUAAAUUGUCUACAGCCAACACAGAUUCAUAUAUUCCAUUACAAGGAAAUGCAUUGAAAAAAAAACACCAUUCAAAUAAAAAAUAAUAGAACCAUUACUAUUUUCAAUUGAGUAUCUGAAACCUUGUCUAUAUAAUCCAUGAAAAGAAAUGAUGUUUCUUGCCAUAUCUGGCGAAUAGCAACAAUUAUUUAAAUCUAAUCCUAACCCAUUACUCAACACUAAAUAAUAAACUCCGACUUUGGUCACAGGCGACGAUCUUCCGUUUCCCAUAAUCAAGUUUAUCUUCCCAUGUUCCACCUCCUUACUUCUUCUUAGGCCUCGCAAAUCAGAACAAAUGUGGAAACCACAUCCUGUAUCAAGAACCCAUGAAGUAGCAAGUGAUGAGUUGGUAGAUUUAAUAGAAUACAUACCUGCAUAGGUGGGCUUUAUCUUCCCAUCUCUAAUGUCCUGCAGAUAUUUGGGGCACCUUCAUUUCCAGUGGCCCUUCUCGUGGCAAUAAAAACACUCUGCUUGUUUAGGGUCAGAGGAGGGUUUAGCAGGACCUGCUUUGGUUCCGCUAGAAGAGGAACCAUCUUGGGACUUUCCUUUUUGGUGACUCUUAGACGGAGCCUUCCACUUCUUACCUCUUCCUUGCCCUAUUGCCAACACAGGGGCCAAAUCAGUAGGAGUUGAUGCAAUAGAUUUAUCCUUUAGGUUGCACUAAACAGUUCUCAACAACCCUUGAAGCUUGCUCAAGGUGACCUCCUCUUUGUUCAUGUGGUAGGUCAUUCUGAACUGGUUGUAGCAUGGAGGCAAGGAGUGGAGAAUGAUAUUGAUAGCCAAAUCCUCAUCAAAGUUAACAUUCAACUUUAGAAGACGAUCAACAUACCUCUGCAUCUUCUGCAGAUGCGAGGUCAAGGAUUCUCCGCUCCCCAUCUUAGCGGUGAUCAUGUUAGUGAUGAUCUCAUAACGCUCUUGCCUCGCGCUUUGGUGAUACCUAUCCAUUAAAUCUUGAUGCAUCUCGAAUGGAUACAUGUCCUCAUAGGACUUCUGGAGUUCAGCAUUCAUAGUCGCGAGCAUGAUGUAAUGAACCUUCGUUGCAUCACGUUCAUGAGCCUCAAAAGCAACGAUUUCUUCAGCAGUGGCAGUUUCUAGAUUGAUCUUUUCAAGCUUCUCGUCAAGGACAUACUCUCUGUCCUCGUAUCGAGUGAUCAUUCGAAUGUUUCGGAUCUACUCGUUGAAGUUGUUGCCAUUAAAGAUCACUUUCCCACACAAAUUCAUGAGUGAGAAUCCACCAGUAGCUGCAGGAGUGUUGUUGUUUGCGUUCGACAUCUGAAAAUAGAAAAGGACAAGUUUGAUUAGAAAGAAUCCCCAAUUAAACACCCAAAUGAAAAAUUAGGGCUAGGAUCCAACAACAUUAUUUACAACUUAGAAAAGGGAUACUGUAAUCUAAAUGCAAAUAAUAUUGAAGGUAAGUGAAUGACGAUUCACUAAUUUCCACCAUGAAAAACGAAAGGAAAUUUAGUUUUAAAUGUAUUUGAAAACUCCUAGAUCUUUGAGAUUCAUUGAACUUUUCAAUGGCAUGUUUAAAUCUCGAUAUGCACUUCAAAUUUGCGACUGGGAUACCGAGGAUCGCAAACAAGUCGUGAAUAACCAUGCGAAUCAACAUGGUUCACCCAAUGUCUCUAUCACCCAAUCAAUGUGUCGGUAAACCACACACGCUCCAUUGAUCUAUGACAAACAUCGAGCCACCCUUCGCCACCAAUGUCAAUCCCAAAUUAGUGUGUCGGUUAACCACGCACUCUCCACUAACGAUUGACAAGGGUGCAAAGUGUAAUUCCAUGGAAUAACAUCAUUUUCACAUUUUACCCUAAAGUAACUAAGAUUGGGAAUUUGAAAAACAUUAUAGUUGCUUUGUAAAUUUAUUAUACUUAUAAUGAGGAAUUAAGUGCCUUAUCCAAUCUGUUCGGCUAACGACCCUCCACCAGUCAAGCAAGCGGUGGGUGUGAGUGUACACCCAUUAAGCGUCAUUUUAUAGGCAACAACCUUAUACCCACCUUAUAGACUGGCUUCGUGAAUGAGGCCUACUAGCGAUAAGACUAGCUUAUUCUUAUACAAAUAUAUUAAUUAAUCUUGUAAUAAUAUAAUAAUAUAGGGUUGAAUUUUAAACUUGUAAAAUUCUAAGGGUUUGAAAUUUAAAUCAUUCAAAAUUAAACUUUUAAUCAUAAAAUUUAAAUUUCAAUACUUGAGGACAAGUUUUGAACUUUUCAAAACACAAGGGAUCAAAUAACAAAUAAUAUAAAUUAAACAAUUAACUUUAUGAUUAUCUAUAUUUGACUUAAUCCAAUUUUAUUUACAAGAUAAUUCAUCAAAUAAAUUAAAUAAUCAAAUAUUAUCACAUAAUUAAUUUAAUAUUUAAAUAUAUGGUAAUUAUCUUUUAAUUUGGUAAGGAUAAUCAUAGCGAAUGUAUAAAAUUCGGAUUUUAUAAUUCAAAAAGAAUUUUGGUAGUUAUCCAAACACAAAAAUAGCCAAAAAACUGAAUUUUGAGCCAUCUGAUCCACAGACUCGUCGAGUAGCAAACUGUACUCGUCGAGUCUGUCUCACAGACUAGACUCACGUCGUGAAUUACAGAGAGUCACGUCGUGAGUUUUUUGAUUUUUCAAAAACGAUUUCCAAAUCAAGCAAUGAACGAAUAUGAUAGCAUCAAAUACAACUGAAACCAAUCAAGCUCUAAUACCACUGAUGGUUUUUUUAUGCAUAAAAACAAUCCUAUGUGCUCAUACAAACCCUAAUGCUUGGAUCUAGGUUUCUCUAUUGAACAUGCAAUGAAUCCAAGACUUGCAAACCCUAAUCUAGCAUACAUAAUUUCGAAAUUAGCUAAUUACAUCAGAUCUAGAUGUUUACCUCUUCAAAUAGCGGCUUGAAUAUUCUUUUCUUGAGCUUAGAGUCACAAGUGUAACUCCUCUAAUGACUUACAAACACAACAAGCAAGAAGGCAACUUUUAGACAGAGAAGAGGAUGCUUAAUUUUGGCCUAGGGUUUCUCUUGGGAAGCAAGUGGCCGAAAACUGAAGGCUAGGGGUCAUAUUUAUACUGUAGGCUGCUAGGGUUUCAGUCUAAACUCUAAUGGACAGCUUCGUCACCAAACAACCCAAGGAACCUUCUGGAAUAAGGCCUUGGAUGAAAAUAUGAUGAUCCUUCAUCAUAAUUUCGUUCCCCCUUAAUCCAUUAGGUUUUCCAGCCCAAAACACAACUAUCACACAUUUGACAGUUUAUGCCCCUUUAUUUAAUUAAUCUCCUUUAGCCACCAAAUUAAUUCCUAAUUAAUUUAUGACUAAUACUAACUAAAUAAAUAUGAUUUCUCCUUUAAUAUAUUAUUCUUAUAAUAUAUUAAUAAAUCAUAUUAUCCUCUCUCUCUCUCUCAUCAAAUUACCCUAUCAAGUUGCUUUGGUGAAGGCAACCCAAAAGGACCAUGCACAACCGGGUCAAGUACAUACCAAAUAUAGUUACGAGUUUAGACACUAAUCCAACACUUUUAACAUAUCAUACUAAACUUAUAAAGGAAACAUUUUUCCUUUCACCACAUCAAUUUGAAACUACCAACUUUUCAUAUUUCCCUAUAAUAUACCUUCUAACUCAAAUAUGUUAUUAAUUAUUAAUAUUAUCAUAAAUGGAAGACUUCUUGAAUUAUCAAUAACUUCAAUAUAUUGUUAAAUGCAUAACCUAAAUUAAUUUAUCAAACAAAAUUAAAAAUAUAUUGUACAAUUUAAAACCUAAAGUAAAAUAUCAAAUAAAGUUUUUAAAAAAACUCAAUGUAUAUUUUUUACAAGAAUUAAAAGAAAAAUAUUAAAUACAAUAAACGUAAAAGAACAUAAAUCUAAAAGUAAACUUAACUAAAAGAUCUCAAAAAACUAUUAUUUAUAAUAAUUGAAAUUUGGUUAAGUUUUUUUUUUAAAUUAAUUUAUAAUAAUAAUAGUUAAAAUAACAUAAAGUUAUAAAUUAAAUUAUGUUACAUCACAAAUAAUGAUUGACAAUUUAAAUAAUCAUCAUGAUGAUGAAAUUAAAAUGUUGUCAAUUUUUCUUUAAAGUUAAUAAGUCAUUAAAUUAGUUAAUAAAAAUAGAUAAGAAAUAUAAUUAAUUUUAUACACACGUAAAGUGUGAGUAGAUACCAUUAAAUGAUUUGAUUUUUGUAAGUGUUAUAUUAUCUAUUGUUCAAAUUGAUUAUAUUGUUACAUUAACUAAAUGUCUAAAUGCAAUAAUAAUUAUUUUUUAGUUAAUAUAAAUGACAAAAAUAUUUUUAAUGACAUAUGAUUACUAAAAGGUUAACUAUACAAUUUUAUUCCGUGCAACGUGCGGAUAUUCGCUUCGUAUCAUAUGAUACUAUAUUAUAAAGUAAACAUUUUUUUUUCUUUCACCAGAAUGAAACUCCCAUGUAUUUUUUCUUUCACCACAUUCAUUUGAAACUCCCAUGACUUUUCAAUUUCUUUCUAAUAAUGAUUAUAAGUUGGUUAAUAAGAUUAAAUAAAUAUAAAACCUAAAGUGUAAUCAUAUAUAAACUAAAUUUCAAUAUUAAAAGAAUAUCUUUACUUCUACUUAUAAAGUUAUUUUUUUUUUAACUUUUAACAUAUUAUACUUAAUUUAUUAGUUUUAAUAUAUUGUUGGAUGUAAACCUUUAUCAUUUUAAAGCUAUAAUUUUUGAACAAUUUGUAUAAAAUACUUCAAUUAUAAAUUUAAAUAUAACAUUACAUGAUCAACUUAAAUAUAAAUUUUAGUUUAACUUAAACAACCAAAAUAAUAUUUUGUGAAUAGUUAAAAGUGAUAAACUAUAGUGUAUUUAUAAUAAUGAUUAUAAGUUAGUUAAUAAGGUUAAAUAAAUAUCAAACCUAAAGUGUAAUCAUAAAUAAACUAAAUAUCAAUAUUAAAAUAAUAUAUUUACUUCUACUUAUAAAGUUAUGUCUUUAACUUUUAACAUAUUAUACUUAAUUUAUUAAAUUUAAUAUGUUGUUGUAUAUAAAUCAUUAUCAAUUUAAGGCUAUAACUUUUGAACAGUUUGUACGAAAUACUUAAAUUGUUAAUUUAAAUAUAUAUCAUUACAGUGUCAAUUUAAAUAUAAAUUUCAGUUAUACUUAAAAACCCAAUGAAUAUUUUGUGAAUAAUUAAAAGUGAUAAAUUGUAGUGCUAAAUGCAAAAAUUAAAUUAUAAUCUCAAUAUAACUAAAAUAUUUGUAUAAUCGUUAAAAGUUUUCAUAUAGCUUAAAAUAACUUACAAUAACAAUAGUUAAAAAUAAUUGUAUAUAAAUGAUUAUAUUGUUACCUUUUAAAUCGAAAAACAAUGUUUUAUAUUUUAAAUAAUUAUAAUGAUAGAAAUUAAAACGUUAAGCAAAUAAAUUUUAAAAAAUUAAUUAACAAUAACAACAAUUAUAAAUAACAUUAAACCAUAUAUUAUAUUUAAUUUUAUUCAUGAGUAACUCGCGGGUAGAAGUCAUUCAAACGGUUGGGAUUAUGCAUUUAUAACAGAUGUAUAUAUUAUCAUAUAAUUAAAAAUAAUUAAUAUAUUAUAUCAGUUUAAUAUACGAAUUAUUAUAUCAAAUUUAAAAAUAACGUUAUUGUUAUAUUAAAAAAAACAUAUAUUUGUAAACAUUUCAACUAUAUAGGUGUUUCUAAGCAACGCGCGGACAUUCACCUAGUACUAUAUUAUAAAAGAAACAUUUUUUCUUUCACCACAUUCAUUUGAAACUCCCAUGACUUUUCACUUUCUCUCUAAUAAUGAUUAUAACUUGGUUAAUAAGGAUAAAAAAAAUAUCAAAACUAAAGUGUAAUCAUAUAUAAACUAAAUUUCAAUAUUAAAAAAUAUAUUUACUUCUAUAUAUAAAGUUAUGUUUUUUAACUUUUAACAUAUUAUACUUAAUUUAUUAAUUUUAAUAUAUUGUUGGAUGUAAACCAUUAUCAUUUUAAAGCUAUAUAACUUUUGGGCAAUUUGUAGAAAAUACUUAAAUUAUUAAUUUAAAUAUAAUAUUACAGGGUCAACUUAAAUAUAAAUUUUAGCUUAUCUUAAACAUCCCAAAUAAUAUUUUAUAAAUAGUUAAAAGUGAUAAAUUAUAGUAAAUUUCUAAUAAUGAUUAUAAUUUGGUUAAUAAGGUUAAAUAAAUAUCAAACCUAAAAUAUAACCAUAAAUAAACUAAAUUUCAAUAUUAAAAUAAUAUCUUUACUUCUACUUAUAAAGUUAUGACUUUAACUUUGAACAUAUUAUAUUCAAUUUAUUAAAUUUAAUAUGUUGGUGUACGUAAACCAUUAUCAGUUUAAAGCUACAAAUUUUGAACAGUUUGGACAAAAUACUUAAAUUGUUAAUUUAAAUAUAACAUUACAGUGUCAACUUAAAUAUAGAUUUCAGUUCCACUUAAAAAACCCACUGAAUAUUUUUUGAAUAAUUAAAAGUGAUAAAUUGUAGUGCUAAAUGCAAAAAUAUAAAUUGUAAUCUCAGUUUAACUAAAAUAUUUCCUAAAAAUAUUUUUAUAAUCGUUAAAAGUUUUCAAAUAAGUAAUUUAAAAUAACUUAUAAUAACAAUAGUUAAAAAUAAGUCUAUAUAAAUGAUUAGAUUGUUACCUUUAAAAUCAAAAAACAUUGUUUGAUGUUUUAAAUAAUUAUAAUGAUAGAAAUUCAAAUGUUAAACAAAUAAAUUUUAAAAUUAACAAUAACAACAAUUAUAAAUAACGUUAAACUAUAUAUUAUAUUUAAUUUUAUUAAUUAGUAACUUGUAGGUAGAAGUCAUUUAAACGAUUGAGAUUAUGCAUUUGUAAUAAAUGUAUAUAUUAUCAUAUAAUUCAAAAUAAUCAAUAUAUUAUAUCAAUUUAGUAUACAAAUUAUUAUAUCAAAUUUAACAACAACGUUAUUGUUAUAUUUAAAUAAACAUAUAUUUGUAAAGAUUUCAACUAUAUAGGUCUUUCUGUGCAACACGCAUGCAUUCGCCUAGUAUACUAUAAAUGAAACAUUUUUUCUUUCACUACCUUCAUUUGAAACUCCCAUGACUUUUCAUUUUCUUUUUAAUAAUGAUUAUAAGUUAUGUUUAACUUAAAGUGUAAUCAUAUAUAAACUAAAUUUCAAUAUUAAAAUAAUAUUUUUACUUCUACUUAUAAAGUUAUGACUUUAACUUUUAACAAAUUAUACUUAAUUUAUUAGUUUUAAUAUGUUAUUGUAUGUAAGCAUUAUCAUUUUAAAGCUACAACUUUGGAACAGUUUUGAUAAAAUACUUAAGUUGUUAAUUUUAAAUAUAACAUUACAGGGUAACAUAAACAUAAAUUUCAGUUUAACUUAAAAAAACCCAAAUAAUAUUUUGUAAAUAGUUAAAAGUGAUAAAUUGUAGUGCUAAAUGAAAAAACAAAAUUGUAAUAUCAAAUUAACUAAAAUAUUUCCUACAUAUAUUUUUAUAAUCAUUAAAAGCUUUCGAAUAGCUAGCUUAAAAUAACUUACAAUACCAAUAGUUAAAAAUAACACUAUAUAAAUGAUUAUAUUGUCAGUAUUAAAAAAAAUGAUUGAUAUUUUAAAUAAUUAUAAUGAUAGAAAUUAAAACGUUAAAGAAAAAAAUUUUAGAAAAUUAAUUAACAAUAACAACAACUAUAUUAAAAUAUAUAUUAUAUUUAAUUUUAUUCAUGAGUAACCCGUAAGUAGAGGUCAUUCAAACGAUUGAGAUUAUGCAGUUUUAAUAGAUGUAUAUUAUCACAUAAUUCGAAAUAAUCAAUAUAUUAUAUCAUCUUAGUACAUGAAUUACUAUAUCAAAUUUAACAACAACGUUAUUGUUAUAUUUAAGAGAACAUAUAUUGUAACGAUUUCAACUAUAUAUGUGUUUCUACGUAAUGCGCGGACAUUCACCUAGUAUAGAUAUAAAUUUUGAAUAAUCGUAACAAUCUUAGAGUGUUAUUUUUCUAGUCAUGAUAACGAGUUAAACCAUUAAAUUUAUUGAGAAGUAAAUGUCCAUAUAGAAAUACCAUACAUGUAGGACAUCAACCGUCACAUGAAACUAAUAAUACUCUAAAACAUUGGCCGAUACAACUAUGGUGAUGGGGGUUUUGUUUCAUCUCUAAAAUGUUAUUCCUUAUAUAUUUAGUUUUAUUUUAUGAACCUAUUAUAUUAUGUUGUAUCUAAGUACUGUUUUCUAAACUGUGCUGAUUGUUCAUUUUUUUCCUUAUGUUGGAGACAAACGGUUUAACAUAUUGUACUUUUUGGGCCACACAACAUGAAAACUUCCUAGGAUCACUCAUCCUAAAACUAUUUUCGUCUGAAACUUCUUAAGUACAAAGUUUUUAUGAGAUCUGUUGUCCUUAGGAAUGUAUACAUGUCUGACCUUGAAAUUUUAGAUGCCUUGUCCCUAAAUAAGAUAUUCAAUUAAGGUCGUAUAAGGUAAUGCUUAGGACCAACAAUGACUUUAAAACUCAUUGUGAUAGUUAGGUAUCCACANNNNNNNNNNNNNNNNNNNNNNNNNNNNNNNNNNNNNNNNNNNNNNNNNNNNNNNNNNNNNNNNNNNNNNNNNNNNNNNNNNNNNNNNNNNNNNNNNNNNNNNNNNNNNNNNNNNNNNNNNNNNNNNNNNUUUUUUUUUUUUUUAUUAUUAUUAUAAAAAGUGAUUUUUAAGAAAAGUGCUUAUUAGCUUAUGAAUUUUAGGAAAAACGGUUUUUAAAAAGUGUUUGGAUAAGAAAAGCUGUUUUUUAGGAGUAAAAUGACUAAAAAGCUGGAGUAAAAAACUAAGAUUUUUUAGCUUUUUGAAAGCCUUAUUUUUCCCAAUCCAAAAAACUGUUUUAAAAAACGUUUUUUUAAAUACAUAAGAGUUGUUUGGAUAGAAAAAAAAAGAUGGUGCUUAUUGCUUAUUCCACAACAAUAAGCUAAGUUUAAGUGUUUGGAUAAAAUCCUUAAAAAUCAACUUAUUGUGUUAAUAAUAAGCUAAAUAAGUUAAUUUUAAUAAGCAUUUCCCCUUUGCUUAUUUGCUUAUUGCUUAAUGCUUAUUUCCAACACAAAUAACUUAAUAAGCUAAUCCAAACACCCCCUUAACUUAUUAGCUUUUUAAAAAGCUAAUAAACUAUUUUCAAAAGUUACCCCAAACACCCACUUACUACAAUAUUGUCUGUUUUAAUCCAUCCGAUUUGAAAACUUCCUAAAGGUCACCUAUCCUUAAACUGAUCUCGCCGAUGCCUCCUUAACCGCAAAUCUUAUAAGAACUCUACGAUAAUAGGGGUGAACAAUGUCAGGAUGAGUGACAACUUUGAAAUUCGUUUAUAUUGGAUGGCUUAAAACGGACAAUAUUCUAUAUGGUAAAUGUGAUAGAAGAUGUUAUUAAGGCCCAUAAGGGAAAAGCUCAUAUCACAAAAUUUUGUAAUUAACAUAUCGUUGUUUAUGUUUAUGUUUUUAGGCUUUACCAUUGGGUAGGUAACGGAAUUUCUAUUAUUCCUACUGGCCAUUGAGUAUGUAACUGAAAUAAGUUACAUAUGUUUUCCUUUCAAGUUUCAAUUGAAAUCCAUCACAACGAAUUGCCUUUGCUGCCGACUCAAAAAUCAACAAUUAUCAAUUCAGGUACGUUUUUCUAUUAUUAUUAAGAAUUGUUAAGGACUUUAGUUGAAUUGUAAUUAUAAACAUAGGGUUUGAUUUGUAUGGUAAAUUAGUUGAUUUUGUUAAUGAUUAUUGAUCAUUAAAUAUUUAUUCAUAUAAUUUUAUAUGAUAUGUAUUGUUUAUUUAAUAUACUUAUAUAAAAAAAUUAUUGAAAAGAAUAAGUUAUUCAACUAUUUAUGUCACAUGUACAAACACGUUUUGGUGGUUCAUAUACUAAUAGUGUAUCAUUAGAGAAUGAUGAAUUGGUUUAUGAUGUUCCAAUCUAUAUUUGUACCUCAAUAUCCAAAUUUCUGCCUCUCGCUACUACCCUAAAAAUUAUGACGAGUGUACCUCUAUAUCCAAAUUCCUAUUCUCGCUACUACUCUAGAAUUAUUAACAGUAUACUUUAAAUUCUAUCACAUAAUACAUAAAACGAAGGCCUAUGUAUAUUAUUAUUAUUAUUUUUAACUUUAUAUGGAUAGAAUGAAAUUGUUAAAAUGUUAAAUGAGGCCAAAGAUAUUGAGUGGUGAUAGAAAGAUUGAAGGUUAACCUCAAAAAGCCCGUCUUCCCAUCCAAGUCUAUGGUCUUCAAACCAACAUGCAAUAUUUGGAUGCCACGUGGCACGGUACGAUAUCUUGAUUAUGUGGCCGUUAAGCUUUCAAAAGCUAAUCCUCAGCCUCCUUACAAUUCUUGGUCACUCGUUACUACUAUAAUAACUCACAAAACCUUCCUCCCAACUCAUUCUCACUUCCACUUCCACACUUAUCUUCGUCGGAGAUCCAUGGCCACCGCCGUAACAACCUUCGGAGCCGCCGUCAACAGAGCCCCGGUAUAUCUAUACUCCUUUACUUGCUUUCACAUAUGAUCACUUAAUUGCUUUAAAAUGGGGUAUCUUUCUUGAUCUUGAAAAGGGUUAAUAACUAGAAUCUGUGAUUGUUAUGAUGAUGACAGUUGAGCUUGAAUGGAAGCAGUGGUGUUGCUGCAGUCCCGAGCUCGACCUUUUUAGGUAGUAGCUUGAAGAAGAUAGUGAACUCAAGACACGCCGUCAACAGCAACAGGUUCGCGUCAUUCAAAAUCUUGGCAGCUGAUAAAGAGAUCGAGGAAACCCAACAGACAGACAAAGACAGAUGGAGGGGUCUCGCAUACGAUAUGUCCGAUGAUCAACAAGACAUCACCAGAGGUAAAGGGAUGGUUGACUCUCUGUUCCAGGCCCCACAAGACGUCGGAACCCAUUUCGCCGUCAUGAGUUCAUAUGAGUACAUCAGCACUGGGCUUCGCACGUACGUAAUCACCUUCAGCUUUUCAUAAAACUGAUUCGUUGAUUGGAUAUUCUUGAUUAUGAAAUUUAUGUAUGUAUAGAUAUAACUUGGACAACAACAUGGGUGGAUUCUACAUCGCGCCUGCUUUCAUGGACAAGCUUGUUGUUCACAUCACCAAGAACUUCAUGACUUUGCCCAACAUCAAGGUCCCUCUGAUUCUUGGAGUCUGGGGAGGAAAAGGUCAGGGAAAAUCUUUCCAAUG
rnacentral:lncRNA from 1 species